UUUUAGCUUUUUUUUUUCUCUCCGCUCGCGUUGCCCUCCCGCCCCGCUCUCUCUCUCUCUCUCCACGUCCACCCUCCCCAAUCCCCGCAUCUUCCUCUGUCUCUCUCCGCCGUCCGAUCUCCUCACCGAGAUCCGCCGGGGUUCGCGGAGAGCCUGUACGGCAUUUUCCCCGCGUUUAGGGGGUUCGUUGGGGCCCACCAGCGGAGGCAUCGCGGGUUUCUCUCUCCGCGUUGCCCUCCGCGUCUUCCUCUCUCUCCCCGCCGUCCGAUCUCCUCGCCGAGAUCCGCCGAUCCCGGCAUGAUCCUCCCCCGGGGAGAUCUGCCGAGGAUCUCCCCCGAUCUCUCGCAUCUAGCUUCCAGGCGUUUCGAGGGUCCGAUGAGGUCCACCAGCGAGGAGCGGGGGCGCCGGCGUGGUCGGGCGCGAGCGGGCGCGCGUGCUGGCGCGAGUCGGCGCGGGCCGGGCAUGGGUGACGUGGCUCCCCACCUCUCUCUCUCCGAUCUCCCCACGCGGCACGCGGAUCCGCAGGGAUCCGCGGUGCGAUCUGCGGGGUUUUUUUUUUCCCUCCGCGCUGUCCCCUCUCUCUAUCUCUCUUCGCGAUCCGCCGUCCGAUCUCCCUGCCGGGAUCCGCGGUCUCUCCGACCUCCCAGCGGGAUUCGCGNGCGGCACGCGGAUCCGCAGGGAUCCGCGGUGCGAUCUGCGGGGUUUUUUUUUUCCCUCCGCGCUGUCCCCUCUCUCUAUCUCUCUUCGCGAUCCGCCGUCCGAUCUCCCUGCCGGGAUCCGCGGUCUCUCCGACCUCCCAGCGGGAUUCGCGGCACGAUCCUCGCCGGUGUGAGAUCUGGCGAGGAUCUCUUGGCCACCGCCUCGCCCCCGCCUCUUUCUCUCCUAUCACGCAUCUCUCUCUCUCUCCGAUCCCGCCUCUCUCUCUUCGAUCUCUCUCCGAUCUCCCCACAGGAAUCCGCGCUCAAAUCUCUCUCCGAUCUCCCUGCCGGGAUCCGCGCACCUCCUGCGCUCUCUCCGACUCCUGCCGGGAUCCAAGGUGCGAUCUUCGCCGGUGGGGAUCUGGCGAGGAUCUUCUUCUCCUCUUCCCCCUCCCCAUCGCGCGCCCUCGCAAGCCCCCUCGCCCUCUCCGUUGCGCCCGCUCCCUGUUCGACCAAAUGCCGAGCCGAUCGCGGGGCGCUCCGCGGGCAUCGAGAGGUGGGGCGCGGCGCCGGGGGUGGGGGUGGGGGUAGAGAUAGGAUUUGGGUGAGGAUCCGUCGCCGAAGGCAGCAGCGGUGGUGGCGCGCUACACGGUGGGGCCCAUCUCCGUGUCUGCGACUUCAAGUGAGUUCUAAUUUGCUUUCCUUUUUUUUCCCCUUUCAAGAAGAUCAGUAUAUAGUUCAUUGGAUUAGAAAAGAUUAUUAUAUGUUUAUACAUAUAUGAUUUGUUGUUCCUGGUGUGAAUGUUGUAUUGGAGAAUUCUUAAUCCUAAGUUUGUGAAUGUGUGCCCCAAAAACGCGGUUGAUUUGAUGCUUUUGGGCAUUUUUUUGGCUCGCGGUAGGGCUUAAUGAAGCAUUGUCUGAGAUCAAAGUGGUGGCGCGCUGCACGCCGUACAAUCCCAUCGACAGCGGCGACGGCGCCGCCCCAGCAAGCUUCGCAGCGGAGCUCGGCCUCUUCACCUCAGUGCUUGGCGACGGGGGCAACGAGAUUGACGCAUCCUCCUCUUUCAAAUCACUCAAUCCAACUGUACGACCCUCAAAUUUCCAAUUCCCACUAAACUUAAACGUAAUUUACAUCAAUACAGCAAUGAUUCUUCUUACUGCUGUUUAUUAGGUUUGUUUAAUUCAUAAAUAUCCUUUCCAUGCAUUCUUAAUAAAUUUAUUGCUACUUGCUGAGGACCUAGCUACCUCUAGGACCCUCAUUUACCAAGUGAUUAGAAUCAUAGAUCUUGCGCAGGAUAGUGUAUAAUCAGGAUGCUGCGAAAUGCAAUAUGUCAUAUGUUGGAUUCGUCUUUAUUUUGUAUAUUCUAUUUAAUUAUUUUCAUAUAACAUGAUUAUUAGUAUUUUCAAUGUGUUUCGGAUUAUUCAUUAUCGAUAAUUUCAUGGUCAUAGUUCAUGAUUCUUAAUUAUCUGUUACUGUUGUUUUUGAAUGCUUAUUAAUUAUUAUUUUGUCCGCCGACUAUUCUGUUGCUCUUAUUUCUCAAUGCUGUGAUGACCUCUCCCUUAAAUGGCAAGCACAUUAGAGAUAGCAAGAAAGGUUGAAAUUAGGUAGAAAUAAGCAUUGAAAAUAGUGGAAAAGUUUAUUUUUCACUAUACUUUUUUAAAUCUUUUUUCCUUUGGAACCUAAGAUGAUAGUAAUGGUUUACUAAAAAAGAGGUCGAUCCAGCUAUCAAAACAUCUUAAAGGUGGCAAAGUUUUCUUAAAAACCCAAACUUCAUUAAAUAAGUUUUUAUUUGUUGCAUAAUAUUGUAGAUUUUAUUUCUUUUGGAAUUAUUGUGUUUUUCUUUACAGUUAUGACGCUGCUCUUGAAAUUUAAAAAUUUAUUCGAAAACCCAUGUGCUAAAAAACAUCAUCUUAGUUAACACAAAAUAUAGAAUUUCUUUCUCUUCAAAUUUUUAAUAUAUAUAUAUAUAUAUAUUAUUUAUACAUGUGAAAUUUUAAUGUUAAAUCAUUUAUUUGUAUUUUUUGUUUCAGUUAAGCUACUGGAUCGUAUUUCAAUUGUACUAAUAUUGGUCAUCUUAGGUUAUCUGUAUUUGUUUCAUUUUAGGCUUUUUUUCUCUAAAAGUUAUCAUAUUUUUUCCUUCCCUUUAUUAGUUACUUCAUAAUUUUGUGCCUCCUUUUGUCUUAUUUCAAGUGAUGAUGAUUCACAACUUUGGCAUCAUCUUUUGUGUUAUUUCAGGUAAUGUCCUGUGAACUCAAGUACUGCUUUUUAUAUGUUUUUUUUUAAUUUUUUACAUUGUGAUGAAGCUCAACUGAAAUCUUUGGCAGAGGAAAUGCAAGCAGUAAGCAAAGGACCGGAGAAAGUUGAACAAGAAUUAACUGCAUCUGAGAACGAUGGUCGUGUGUCCGAGACUUUCCGCAAGGUAUACUGAUGCGCAAUUAUUUCGACCUUUUGCUUCCUUCAUUACAAAGUUUAUUAGUUUGUUAGUCUGAUCGUCUUUGCUUCUGCCUUUUGGCCACUGUUAGCUUAAUUUUGUCCCACAAAUUCUUCCAAUGUUUCACUAAGAUGUUAGAGAGCAAUUUGUUCAGAAUCCAAAGCAAGCCCCUAAAGAGUGAUAUCACCAUAAGACAGCCGUGACCGGUGUGUUUUUAGGAUACAACUUCAUGAGUAUUAAGUGAAAUCAAACUCGGUUGUGGUUUGUGAUUUGUCUCUUAUUUAUUCAUUUUAUGUAGGGGCCUGCGCAAUAACUGCUUUCUUUUCUUCAGACACUGAAGACUUUUCUUAAUGUUGCUGAAGCUGAAGUUAGGGCUUUAACUUCGUUGUAUUCUAACGUGGUGAGUAUGAGAUUUUUCACAAAACAGGAUCUGAAGAUGUUUUGAGAUACAACUCUUUCUCAGUUAAGAUUUAAGUUCUUGAGAAAUUUAUCAUACUUAAACAUAACAGGGGAGGAAUGCUGAUGCUUUAGCUCUUUAUUUUGGAGAAGGUCCUGCCCGCUGUCCAUUCGAGCAAGGUGAGUGUUGUGUCGGUGCAUCAAAUUUGCUUCAAAAGACCUAAGUUUCCAAAUUUGAGUGCCAUAUUAAUAGCUUCGUAUACUAAAUCAUAUGUCUUCGGCGUAUCAUCUGGUAGUAUUUAAACUGAUUCUUUUCAUGCCUUUAUAUAUACCUCUACCUGCUUGCUACCUGUGGCUUGCUUACUGUUUUUUUUUUUUUUCCUUGACUAAUUUUUUCUAUGUACAUCGCAUUUCUACCCGAGUUUUUAAACUGUCUCACAUGUAUUCUUUUCAAAAGAAAAUUUCAUCUUAAUUAUUUAUGCGAGCAGCGAGGAGAAUUUAUUUUCUCUCUUUUGUUUUUAGCUUCCUAUAUGCAUAAAAAUGGGUUCUAUCCAUUCAGUUCUAUCUGGAAAUAUCACUAUCAUAUCCCUCAUUUGCCUCCUUUUGUUGUGCAGUGGUCUCGACGCUUUGGCCUGGUCAUAUAUAUAUAUCCCUUUCUACUCUUUUAUAUAUAUAUAUAUAUAUAUAUAUAUAUAUAUUCCCCACUAGCUAUAUUUGUCUAUGAUAAUUAUUGGCUGUGAAUGAUACCCGCCUUAACCUAUCAUAGAAAGAAAUCAACAUCAAUCCUCAACCAAUACCAACAUCUCUUCAUCAAGCAUUAAUCAAGCAUCAAACUAAGCUAUAAUCAAAUUAGAAGUAAGGAGAUUAGGAAAGGUAUUUACAGAAUUUGAACAACACAGUUUAUCAGCAGGGAAAUAGGUAGAGGUGAUAAGUAUUAUAGAUGUUAGAGAUUGACCUUUCUAUACUUCUUUCCCUCUUCUUUGUUUUGGUACUUAUCGAAUGUUAGUUCUUGAAAUGCCUUUUGAGGCAAUGAUGAUGUGAAGGAAAAAAGAUAAGAGAUUUGGACGGUCUAAAGCCCUUGCCGACCAUCUCUUAAGUUUGCUAUUUCCUCUGCUGAUUGCCUUACGAUAGUAGAGCGAGUCUCUUUAUACUUCACAUUGCAGAUUACUGGUGUUGCUUUAAAACAACUCUGAAGAAUAAGAAAGGUUAUGUUGCACCGAGCCCACCACCUACCCGUCGCGACGGCUGCUCCUCACUCCUCCUCCUCUGCCUGACCCGCCACUAGUCCGGCGACCCUCCCUCGAUCCUACCUUCCUCCGUACCGUCCGGUUAUUGCGCGCCCAUCGCCCGUCGGCCAUGGCCUCCCUCUUGAUCGCCUACUCUGCCAUGAGGGCACACCCCGCGACCGCCAGCUCAUUCGCACCAGCCUUGCCGCGUUCCUGCCGACUCGCCCACGCCGCUCAAGCCCCGCCCUUUGCCCCCGGGACUCGCGCGCGUCGGCCGCCGCCGCAAGCGUUUCGUCCACGCACCACCAGCUCGACGACGUCCACGCGUCAAGAACGCCAUGGGCUGCGUGAGCGCUCUCCCUUCAUCCUCCCCCCGCCUCUCUCGAUCUAGGCUUUUCUCUACUUACGGAAUUUGUUUGGUGAUCGAUCAUGCGCGGCGAUUGAUCCGAAAUUUGAUUGACUCUUCUUCGUUUACUCCUAGACCGUGAAUAAUGUGUUGGUGGAGUUACGUCGGCGGCCUUUCUCGCUACAUCAGCAGGAAUUUGGUGAGUACAGUGUUCGACGUAAUUACUAGUGUUGAAUCUUGUGAUAAUCCCUGUAUUUUUUGUUUUGUUUGUUUUGUUUUGAUAAUACAAUUUUAGUCUUCAUCACAUUGCUUUUCUCCAUCUCGCUCAUAGAUAGUUUCCUGAUCUCACACAUUUUUGCAGCGCCAUCAUUGGUUUCAAUUUGUAGGUCGUAUGAACUCGCCAUGUGAAUAACAAUAAUAAUGCAGAAGACGAUUUUAUCCGAAUUGUGCAUCUUCGACGUGAUUGAACAUUCGAUAAUUCUAUCGGUCCUGCGUUCUGCGCAAGACACCGAUUAAUCUUUUUAGUGAAAAAUUUAAGGAUCAAAUCAUAAUUUGUGAAAAGUCAGUAACUAGCUUGUAUGUAAUCUUACUUUUACUGCAGUGUUGCUCUCUUCGUCUUCUCUGCUUCUUCGGUGAUUGACAAAUUUUGGCUAUGUAAUUGUUCCGCAUGUGAAACAGAUGACGGAAAAAGAGAAAAACUGCUAGCCGAACCUUCGAGUGAGAUCAGACCACUCGUCCAAUGUUCGUCCUAUACAGUAGAUCAUGCAAGUGCUUUACCUUCUCACUAAACGUAAAUUUUCUUUUCCUUGUUAGGUUAUUGUAUUAUGGAUCUUUAGAACUAAUCAUAUUGUUUAUUCAUAUAAGUAGGAUUUGGCGGAGAUGCAUGAAAGGCGGAAGAUGGGCCGAAUGGGGGAAUUGGAUCGUGCGACCUCGAAGGAUAUUAGUAAAUAUUGACAAAAAAUAAAUCUAUGCCAUGAUAAAGGUAAGUAUCAAGAACCAAUACGCUUUGAGAAACAUUUAGGGCCACAGUAGUAAAUACGCCAUAAAGGACAGAAACCUAAGGAAGCUAUCGCCGGUAUUGAACCUCUUAAAGAUGGACCUUCAAUUUCAUACGCAGAUUGCUCAAUAGAAGAUCCAAUUACGAACAGUGAAUUUUCAAUAGAAGAAGGUUAACAGUAUCAAAAGAAGAUCAAUUAACGAACAGUGAUUAUCAAUAAAAAAAGCGUUAUAGUUGUCGAGAGAGAAAGGAAGGUUGCGCACAAAUCCAGAGUCAAUACUUCAGGGUUGACUCUUUUUUCGAGGAUGAGCCCAUCGUCUUGUAAAAAGUAAUUCGGAUACAACAAAAUAAAAAAAAUGUGCGCAUUGCUUUAGAGAAACGUAAGCGGGAACACAAUUAAUUCCCUACAGCCGCGGAGGCACGUGCGUGACCGUUCGAUUGGGUUCUGUAGCUGAUUAUUAUAGGCGAUAGCACAUAGGGUCUCCGGGGAAUGAGAUGCGAUCACCUUCUCUUUUUUGCUCCUCUUUUUUGAAGAAAUAGUGAUUGGAAAUGCCAUCGGCGCUGAGGAUCAGAAACAAUUUUUGUAAUCCUUUUACAUCAAUUAGGAUAAUCGCAUUAUCUCUUUGUUAAAAGCAUGUUCGGUCGAGUUCGUUAUUCUUGCAAACAACUUGGUAAAUAUUGAAAUUUUAAAAAACACUAUUUAGGAAUCUCAUAUUUUGAGCACUCGUGAUCGCGGAAACUGAGACUAUUCGCUCCUCUUCACCCCGAGAAUGGGGCUGCGCGCGCCGCCCGCGGAUCAAAGGCGUCACUGCACCCGGCCACCGAGGCUUCAAUAUACUUAUCUCAAAGCGUUGCAAGAUGAACGAACUCGCCAGACAUGCUUUUAACAAAGGAUAAUGUCAGAUCAUCCUAGAUUGAUUAGUAAGGCCACAUUACCUAAAAUUGUUUCUGAUCCUCAGUCGCCGAUAGCACAUUCCAAUCUACAUCUUCUUCCAAAAAGGAGGAAAGAAGAAGAAGGUGGGAUCGCACUCGUUCCCUUGAAGAACCCCUGUCCUAUCGAUAAAAAUCUUCUACAAUGAAGCCAACUCGAACCGGUCCGAACGCGUGCCCAUCCGCCGCUGUAAGGAAUUCAAUGUUCUGCUGCUAUACGUUUCCCUCUAACAAACAAUCGACCAUUUUAUUUUCCUUUUGUUGUAGUCCGAAUACUUUUUUACAAAGACAGCGUUCUCUCAGAAAAGAGUCAUCCUAAAGCAUGACUCUGUAAAGAUUUGCGCAACUUCCUGUUCUCAUCCGACAAUAUAAACCUUGUUGUCAUUGAGAAUAUCACUGUUCGUUAAGGAUCUUCUUGAUACAGUAACCUUCUUCAUUGAGAAUCACUGUUCGUAAGAUCUUCUAUUAGAGAUGGCAAUGAAUUGAAAGGUCAUCUUUAAGGGGUUCAAUUCCGAGCGUAUAGCUCCUUAGGUUUUCGCACUUUUGGCGUAUUACGAUUAUGCACAAUAAUUUUUCCAAAGCAGUAAUUGUUCUUGAAUACCUGUAUCAUGCAUAGGUUUAUUUUUUCUGCAAUAUUAUACUACAUAUCAACUUGGAGAUUUCGCUCGAUCCAUUCCCAUUUCGCCCAUCCUUCGCCUCAUUCAUCAUCUUCCGUCAAUCCAAACUUAUAUUGUAAAACAAUAAUGAUUAGUUUCUAAAAGAUCCAUUAUAAACUAAAAAAGAAAAAAAAAAUGUAGUUUAGGUGAGAAGUAAAGCAUUUCAUGGAUCACUGAUGUAGUUCGAUACAUGACAGAGUAGUGAUCUACUCGAAGGUUCGCUAGCAUUUUUUUCUCUCUUUUUUCUGUAUGCUGUUUCACAUACAACAAUUACAAGAAAAUUGCAAUCAACGAAGAAGAAGAUAAGAAGAAGAAGAGCCUAAACUAGCAGUAAAAGUGAAUAUAAACAUACCACAGCUAGUUACCUGAACUUUUCACAAUAUUGAUUUGAUCAUAAAUUUUUCACUAAAAAGAUUAAUCAGGUGUCUGCGCAGUAACGCUGUGACCGAUAGAAUUACGAAUGUUCAUUCCAUAGUCGAUACCACAAAUUGUACGAUAAAAUCGUCACCCGUGCAAUUAUUGUAUUCACAUGGCGAUUUCAUACGACUAAAAUGGAAACCAAUGAUCGGCGUGCAAAGAUUGGUGGAGAUCAGGAAAUAUCUAUUAGGCGAGGAUUGGAGAAAAGCUGUGAUGAGCUAAAUUGCAUUAUCAAAAACAAAAAAAAAUACAGGGAUUAUCACAGUAUUCAACACUGUACAACAUUACGUCGAACACCUUGUAUCACCAAUAUUCCUGGCUAGUAAGCGAGAAAGGCCCGACGUCACCCCACCAACGACACAUUCGACGGUCUAGAGUAAAACGAAGAAGAGAUCAAUCAAAUUUUCGGAUCAUUCGUCGCGGAAUCUGAUCGCUCACACAGACAAUUCCAUAUAAUCGAGUGAGAAAAGCCUAGAUCGGGGGAGGAGGAGGAAGCGGAGAGUACUCAGCAGUCCCAAUGGCUUUGACGCGCUGACGUGCCGUCGAGGAUGGGUGCGGGUGGACGAAACGCUUGCCCAGGCUGGGGCCGACGCGCGCGCAGUCCCCGGGGGGCAAGUAGGCGCCUUGAGGCGUGGUGUUAAAUGCGGCGAGUAAUGUCGGCGAACACGCGAGCGUCGACGAGGGUAUUCCACGCCAUGGCGAGCAGGGAACCAGAGCCGAGUAGAGGCCUGGCGAGGGCGAGGCGCGGGUGGACGGGGAGGGAGGGAGGGCGAGGGGUCGCCCGGCGCGGCACUGGCACCCAGCGAGACGAUGGAAUGUGAGCCGAGGCGUCGUCGCCGAGAGUGGUGGUCGUGCAGGCGAGCGCCGGCGCGGAGGGGUAGUGGAGGUUGAGGAUGUGGAGGCUCCCACAGAACCGUCUCGUCUAUGGAGGCGCGCGAGAGCGCUGAGGACGAGUCACUCCACCCCCGCUCGCCGGCUGCAGCCGGCGAAGAGGCAACAGAGAGGGGACGAUGACGUGGCGUCCAACGUCGACCCUACCGGACCCUCCCACGCGGCUUCUUCCCGCGCGCUCCAUCGUCAAAACACCUAAAACUCCGAUAAAACAAAAAAAACAAAAAAUAAUAAAUAAAAUAAAAAUAUUAUUUUAAUAAAUAAAUUAAAUAUAAUAGUGCUUUGAAUUUUUAAAAAAUAUUAAUUUUAGCAAAAUUUUGAACAUUACACUAUCUAUUUGCAAUGGUCACAAAUUUCAAACUAUCUAUCUUUCUUGUAACAAUUUCUUGUAAUUUUUGUUUUCCGAGGAGCCCGUCCGCAGAGGAGUGGUAGGCUACGAGCACGGCGAGGCGGCGGGCGAGUGGGGUGGUGGAGGUUGAGAAUGUGGAGCGCCCACAGAAGCAGGUCGCUGCCAUCGAGCGCGGCCGGAGCGCCGCGCGAGGACGUAGUCCUCCACCACUGCGUCGCUCCGGCAGCGCCGGCGAGGGGAGCAACGAGAGGUGCGGGGAUAUGAGACGUGGCGUCCACGUCAGCCCACCGACCCGACCGACCGGCUUCUUCUGACGCUAUCCGUUCAAACACCUAAACCUCGUUAAAAAAAAAAACCAAAAAAACAAAAUAAAUAAAAUAUUAUUUAUCAAAAAAUAAUAAAUAAUGCUUUCGAAUUUUUUAAAAAAUAUAUUAAUUUAGCAAAAUUUUGAACAUUACACAUCUAUUUGGCGAAUGGUUCAAAAUAUUCAAAACCACUAUCUUAUAUAACACAAAUCUUCUGUAUUUUUGUUUUUCCGUUUUUUUUUUUAAAAAAAAAUUUGAGUAGCUGCAGAAAGUAAGGAUUUAAAAACUCUAUCGAAACAGUUUUAUAGAAAGUAGUUUCUUUAACCUUUUGACACCGAUAAAAUUAAAAAUUUAUUUUAACUGUUUUAAACAGAUAGUUCAGCAAGUGAAUCGAUAAAUCAGAUCCGAUUUUGUCAGCAAACUAUAACAAAUUUGUUUGUUUUUAAUUUAUUCUUCACAUUUUUUUUAAUUUUAUUUAUAAUUAAUUGUUGUUGAUUUUAUUUUAUAUUAUGAAAAGUGAAUUUAAAAACUUAUUAUUUAAUAUUAGUCUAGUACAUAAUAUAAUUAUUAUUAUAAUUUAUAGUAAAUAGUAGUAAUAUAAUAUAUUACAUAAUAAAAAAAGUAUUUAAAUAGAAAAUUAAAUAUUUCAACGUUAUGUUGGCGUUACCGGAUUGAAUCGGUGUUGAACUAUUGAUUGAUCCAAAAAUAAUUUCGGAUAGCGAAUUAGUCUGUUUUAAAAGAUUAGUCACAAAAUACUGGGGACUAUAAAUUAAGUAUAACUUUUUAGCAAUUAAAAUGGCAAAAGUGGGAAAAUGAGUGAACCUCACAACAUCAUUUAAUUGAGAAAUUAAUGAUAUGAUGGUUACAUAAAAGCUCAAAAGUUAAAUUGAUCCAUAAGCGCAUACAAUAAAAUAUAGGGCAAUUUCAUGGAUACCCCUCCACAAGUCUAAAUAUCAUAGAUCCCUGUAAAGUUUAAAAUAAUCACCCAUACCCUGUAAACACAAAAAAUUAUCAUCAAUACCUUCAUUUUAAUUAUGUUAGCUUUACCCAUAGUUAUUAAAAUGUUUAAAGAUGUUAAAUUUUAAAAUACUAUUAUUACCCCUCAAAUUUUUUUAAGUUAAAAUGUAUGGAGAACCCCUCAAUAUAUGCCAUUUUGAAACAGCUCUCUCAACUUUCAUUUUUUAGUUGAUAUCCAUUAGCUUUAGUUUUUAAAAAAAUUAACUAAUUCAAUGUAGUGUAUGAAAAAUGAGUAGUUUUUUAGUUUUUUUGAUAUUUCAACAAAAAUCUAGUGGCCACUAUUUAUAUUUUAUCGAAUAAAUAAGUAUAUAUAAAAUUAAAUGAAAAAAUGUUAAGGAAUUAUCCGUAUUUCUUUAAUGUUGAAGAGCUUAAAUUUUUUUUUAAUCAAAAUAUUCUUGAUAAUUUUAUCUGCAUUAAACGCAUUAAAAAACUAAAAUAUAAUAUAUUUUAGCUUUUGAACAAAACUCUCUUUUUGUUUCAAUCGACAGAACAAUGCUUGCAUAUAGUUAUGUGAUUUACUUUUGCUUAAAUAGGAAAAAAAAUAAAAUCUAUAAUUUAUUUCAAAAUUACUAUUACUACUGAACCUGAACCGAAAUCCAAAACUAAAAACAAAAACAAAAUCAGAUAAAAACAUACUAUAUAUAAAAUAUAAUUUUUAUAUAUUUUUUAAUAAUUAAUAUAUAUUAAUAAUUUAAUUUAAUAUGUAUAUAUUAAAUACUCAAAUUUAGAUUUACAAAAAAUAUCUUGAAAUACCUAUUAGUAUUUCUACUAUUAAUAAGAAAUAAAGGGUAAAAAUGGUAUUUUGAAAAUUUAACUCCUUUUCAGAUGGGAUUUAACGAUUUUAACUAAUGAGGGGUAUUUAUGAUAAUUUUAAACAUAUUGGAGGGUAUUUGUGAUAUUAUCAAUUUUAGAAGGGUAUUGAUGAAAUUAAUAGUUUUUAGAAGGGCAUCUAUGAAAUUAUUCCUAAAAUAUAUAUAUACAUAUUUUUAUUUUAUUUUUUUAUGCAUAUAUAACUAUAAGAUGAUUAAUAUUUUGGCUUUUUGAUAAAUACAUACAAAUUUUUUUAAACAAUAUAGAUAAAUUAUGUAUAAUAGAAAAUUUUUUCUUAAAUAUAUAAACUAUUAAUAAAAAUUUUUUUAAAUUUCAUUCGUAUGAAAAAUAUAAUAAUAUUUUAUUAAAAUUAUUAUUUUAUAUACGUACAAUAAACAUUUAUUAUUAUAUUAAUAGAUUAUAUUUUAUUAGUAAUAUUUAUAUUAUAUUCGUGUCCUGAAUUUUGAAAGCUAUCAAAUCACCCUAUUCAAGUCAUGUCUUAUUCCACGUCAUUAUCUGUCGUGUCGUAUCCCACAUCAUUGUUUGUGACACCUAGUUUGCAAGUAAGGAGGGUUAAUGAUUAGGUUUAGACAACAACAAAAGGUUUGCAAUAGCUGCUUAGGUUGGCCUGUCAGUGUCAAAGUUGACAAUUUUCAUAACACAAUGAUUUGAUGCACUUAAAAGAACCAGACUUAUGUCAAAUUAUUGGCGCUAAUCAUUUAUUCUAAAAAUUUAAAUUAUUAAAAAUAUACGAUCAAUUCAAUUUAAUAUACAAACACAAUAUUCACGAAUUUCGAUUGUGACUCGAUCAAAUCAUUCUUACACUACUUCAUACGUAACUCGGCCCGUGACAACAAAAUAAGUUUGUCGCACCAGAGAUCAAGUGACUUAGCAAAAAUAACAUAAUUUGCUGAAGUGACAUUCAUAGCAGAUUAUUAAACCUAAUUUGCUAGUUACUGUAUUGUGCCAGCUGAAGUUGCAGAAUAUCUAUGGUUAGAAAACAUUUUGGAAAUAUAUAUAAAACGGCACCCCAAUAAAACUGACCUGGUCAUAGUGAAUGCUAGCCUUGUCAAAGCGCUUGCAUAUAUCCUGCAACAAUAUUAUACAACGCAUAAUACUACAUUACAAUUUUUAACAGCAAAAGAAAAGGAUGGAAAAAAAAAAGAAGAAGAAGAGGAUAUCCUAAUAACAGAAAAUAACAAGUGCACCUUAGUAUCAUGCAUUCAUGCAAAUCUAUGUCUACAAAUUCCAGCCGUCUGUCAUUUAACGCGUGCUCAAUCUGUAAGACAGAAAAGUAAAUGAAGCUUGCAAAAUAAAAAAAAAAGGGAAAACUUCAAAAAACCCCUUGUGGUUUCAAUUUUUUUCACUUUAGAACCAUAUGGUUUAAAAUGUAUCAAGUUAGUACCCUGUGGUUUCUCACUUUAUCACUUUAGUACCCUGUGGUUUAAAGUGUAUCAAGUUAGUACCUUGUGAUUUUACACUUUAUCACUUUAGUACCCAGUGAUUUUAAUUUUGUAUCAAAUUAGUACCCUGUGGUUUUUUAAAUCACAGGGUACUAAAGUGAUAAAGUGUGAAACCACAGGGUACUAACUUGAUACAAAAUUAAAACCACAUGGUACUAAAGUGAUAAAGUGUAAAACCAUAAAGUCCUAACUUGAUACACUUUAAACCAUAGGGUACUAAAAUAAAAAAGUGUGAAACCACAUGGAGGGUUUCUGAAGUUUUCCCUAAAGAAAAGGAUAUACAGGCAUUUUAUUUAAAAGAAAUGAGAACAACAGAAAGGAAAGUAGAUUUAUUUAUGUUUUCUAAUGAUAAGCUUACUCAAAUUUGGCGGGGUCGUCUCAACUUUGAAAUUUUGGCAGAACAAACAGAUUCUUGAAAUAAAAAUAUUUUGUUCUGAUAAAAUAAACGAAGCGAGUAACAUGCUACCUAUUUCUAAAAAAAAAAAAAAAAUGCUUUGUUAUGAUUACUGCCAAAAUACUUGAGGUUUCAAUCUUGGCUGGGGUGUGUUUGUUUUGAUAUAAAAGUAGGUUGAAAUAAUUUUUCGAUCGAAAAAUUAUUUGCCGAUGUUUGUUUCAAUGUAAAAAGAAGUUCGCGGAAAACACUUUUACAUAUUUUUGUUUUCCACGAGAGAGAGAGAGAGAGAGAGAGAGAGAGAGGGACAAAAAGGGAGGGGAAAAGUACAAGGGGAGGGAGAGAGGGGUGGAAUUGGAGAAAAAUAGAAAAAGAAAAAAUAAUUAAGAAAAGGUAAAAAUGCAUCCAGGGCCAAUAAGUUUAGGAUAUUUUGAAAUUCCCUCAAAACUUUUCUUUCGGGAUCCCUCAUCUUUCAAACAAUCUGAUUCAUAUCAAUCUAACGAGGUUUUUUUAAAAAAAUAAGUAUAAUAAUAUUUAUUAAAAUUAGAUUUUUUUAUUAAUUUUUUAGUUAGUAUAAAUGUUGAUUUUGAAAAAAAAGAAAUUCUAGUUUAGAUGACUAAAAUAAGAUGAAAUGUAUUGGAGCCCCUUAACUGUAGACCAUUGCGGCACAACUCUUUCAAUUUUUUUAAGUCAAAAGUCUCUUAAUUUAUUUAUUUUCUAUAAUUAAAGUGAUUUUAGAAAAAUAAAUUUAAAACCUUAUUAGAUUUAUUAAUAAUUGUAUUAAUUUUAGUGGUUUAUCUAUAAUAUAUUUAGUAGAUACAACUUUUUUAAACUCUCUCUCUCUCUCUCUCUCUCUCUCUCUCUCUCUAGCCAUAAUUUUAUUUUGAGAGAUGUGAAUGUUUGCUAUGUGGUCAUGAGGGCAACUCAUCUCCAACUAUAGUUGGCACAUUCUAUGCCAAUUUUAGAUGUGUCCUUUUCAUUAAUGAUCUCAUGGUUUGACUUAUUUUUUUCCCUUUCCUUUGUGGUGUAGAUAAACCUCAUACAUGUGAAAUUGAAAGAGGUGUCAAUUGUUGAAUACAAAAUAUUCAAUUUUUGUUUUAUGAUAGUUAAAUGUUUACAAUAAUGAAUAAGUUGUUUUAUAUGAUAUCUAAUGAGGUUAUGAGAUUAAAUUUUUUAUCAUAUUCUAAAGUGUCCUUUUAAUUAAAGUUUUCCAUGCUCAAAAUUGCAUGUGAAAUUGGCUCAUGCACCAAUUUGGGGGUUUUUUUGGAUUUUUUUUUUUUUUUUUCAUGUAGCUAGAUGGGAUUACUUUGUUUCCUAUCUCUUCCACUUGUUGGAUAAGACAUAGCAAAAUUCAAUGGAGGUGAAUGUGUUGACCAAAUAUAUACUAGGAAAAAAAAAAUUGUGUGGAAACUUAACUUUAUUCAAUUUUGAAAUGGCCCACUCAACUUUAACUUUUCUUUAAAUAUUAUUUUUCCAAGUUUUACAUGCUUUAAAUUAAUUAGUUUAGUAAAUUAAAUAUUUUAUCAGACAUAUGAAUAAUUCUAUUAUUCUAAUUAAAGUGAAUUAACUAUGUCUAUCUAGUAGCAAAUGGAACCAUAAAUUAUUCAAAUUAAUUGUCCAACUUGACUAAAUAAAAUAUAGGGAAAACUUCAAAAAACCCCCAUGUGUUUUCACACUUUUUUAUUUUAGUACCCUAUGGUUUAAAGUUUAUCAAGUUAGUACCCUGUGGUUUCUCACUUUAUCACUUUAGUACCAUGUGGUUUAAAGUGUAUCAAGUUAGUAUCCUGUGGUUUUGCACUUUACCACUUUAGUAACCUGUGGUUUUAAUUUUGUAUCAAGUUAGUAUCCUGUGGUUUUUUAAAUCACAUGGUACUAAAGUGAUAACGUGUGAAACCACAAGGUACUAAAGUGGUAAAGUGCAAAACCACAGGGUACUAACUUGAUACACUUUAAACCACAGGGUACUAAAGUGAUAAAGUGAAAAACCACAGAGUACUAACUUGAUAUAUUUUAAACCACAGGGUAUUAAAGUAAAAAAAAAAAAUUGAAACCACAAGGGGGGUUUUUAAAGUUUUCCCUAAAAUAUAUAACUCAAAUGAAAAUUUUGAAAACUAAAAGUAUAUUAAUAAAAAGAAAGUAAAGUUGAGGAUCUAUUUCAAAAUCAAAUUGGAUUAUAGUUGAGUGGCCUUCAUAUGCAUGCAUACAAUUUUACCUAUAUUUAUAUUAAAAAAUAGAAAAGCAAUGGGCACAUAGGGUCACUGUUUCUUUUAAACAGCUCUAUGUAGAAAAAAAGCGUCAUUUGACCCAUCUCAUCAGAAAAGACCCAACUUCUAAUUGUUUGAUGUGUCUAUUUGUGAUUGGCUCAAUAUCAGCAAUUUAAUUAUAAUGCUCUUUAUUGAAAUAUUUGAUUUCGCACAAAAUAAUUUUCAGUAGAAAAAAGGAAUUUCGUGUAUUUUUUAAGAAAAAUAUUUGCAAACCGAAAACUGAAAACUACUCUCUUUCUCUUUCCUGACUCCCUGUUAUUUUCUUCUUUUCGUAUUGUUGCAAAACUCCAAAGUGUUUUCAUUUUAUACUGAAAAAAUCACCAAUAAAUUGAAAACAUAUGAAACAAAUAAAAAAAACAACACCAUAUAUAUUUCCUAGGAGAAUAUUUGGAAACAUAGCUUUUGGACAAAAUCUUUGAUGGAGGUGUCCUAUCUCCACUUUCAUUGGCUCCUAAUUAGCAAAAGUGGGUUGUGGGCUCAAAAAAAUUGCAAAUAAAGGAGUACAUAAUUUGUACUAGUAGGAGCAAAAGUGGGAUCUAUUAUCUAUAUAAAUCAUUGCACUUUAGUGGGUUAGCACACAAAGAUCACUCCUUGGGAAAAGAAGGAUUUGGUGAACACCGUUUAGAAAGAUUAUGUACCUAUGGGUGUGACAAUUGAGUGAGCACCAAAUAUUGGAGGGACAAAUGCAUAUAGAGAGAGAGAGAGAGAGUUGAACUGGAAAGCUAUCAGUAGCAAAUAAUAUUGAUCAUCGAUUUGGAGGCUCUAUUAUCGAAAAUAAAUGGAUGAUAACAGAGGUCAUUGAGAGAGAGAGAGUUGAACUGGAAAGUUAUCAGUAGCAAAUAAUAUUGAUCAUCGAUUUGGAGGCUCUAUUAUCGAAAAUAAAUGGAUGACGGCAUAGCUCAUUUACUACUAAUAGCAUUUUCACUCAAAUCUCUCUCUCUCUCUCUCUCUCUAUAUAUAUAUAUAGCUAGUUUACUAUGCUAUUAAUAAUACCAAGUUAUUGGCACUAUUAGAUUUUCUUUCCUUAGAUAAAGAGAUGUGCGAUUAGAAUAAUAAUGAUCUCUUAGAGUUGAGUGGGUGGAUGGUUGAAUAGUAUGAUCUAACGGGUGAAAAUGGUUAAAGGGAUAGAUUUAACGACGAAAAAUUUGUUAACAUUAAUUGCUUAAUGCUAUUGAUAGUACAGUAGCCGAACUCUCUCUCUCUCUCUCUCUAUAUAUAUAUAUAUAUAUAUAUAUAUAUAUGUAUAUAUAUAAAUAUAUGCAUGUUGUGCGCUAGAGUUGACUUGUGUAUAUAUAUGCACGAGAGAAGACAUAAUUAAGUGGGAUUUUUAUGAAUGGUACUUCGUGUAUAGUUUUUGCUAUAGUUCUUUGCCAUCUUAUACCUUUCUCAGCAAAAAUGUUCUUAUGAAAAAUGAAUACAUAUUUGAUUUGAAUAAUUCAAUUUAGAGCCAAUGAAAGUUGAUAGCGUUCUUUCAAAAAAAAAGAAAAAAGAGUUAAGAAAGUCUCAACUAAAAGAAAGAUUGAGGUGGUUAUUUCGGAAUGGCCUACAUGAAGUUGAAAAGAUUUUAUACAUUUUAUAGUCUAAUUCGUUUUUUAUCAGAUUAAUAUUUUAGAUAAUAUGAUAUCAAAAUUGAAUCACUACUGUAUAAAUUCGCGUGAUUGUAAAGAUUAAUAAGAGAUUUCACUUUUUCGCUCUUUGUUCUUACACAUGCAAAAGCACGUCACAAAAUCUAGUAAUUAGCUAUUCAAAACCCUAUUUUCUUCUUUUCAAUUUUUUAAAUAUUCAUAUCAUUUGGUCAUAUAAUAUUGAGUAGUGGUAGAAUCUUACGUAGACAAACUCCUCAAAUAGUAGUUGUCACCAUCAACACCUUUGACUUAAAGAAAGAGUAUUAAUUUCCAUAACAUUUGCAGUUUUCUUAUGUUAUUACGUAUUCAAUUUCUCUUUUUCUUUUUUUUUUUUUUGGGUGAGGAAACAUUUUCAACGUUGUAGCAUGCAUGAAUCAAGCAAAGAAGUAAUUCUCUUGCCCUUGCUUUAAGCUCUCAUCGCUAAUUGGUUAAGCAACAAAUAAGAUUUCAACUCAUUUGAUCCACUAUAUAAAUGGCAUGAUUUUAUGAAAGGGAUAGCUAGGGUCGGUAAUCAAUUUUAUUGGGCAUAAAUUAAUAAGGAAAUCCUCUUGAGAGCAAGGGUUGGGGUGGGGGAUGAUAACAAAGAAAAGAAAAAAUACAUACAUACAUACAUACAUACAUACAUAUAUAUAUAGAAUUAUGCUACUAUACUAUCAAUAGUACCAAGCCCUUGGUACUAUUGAGUUUUCGGCCGUUGGAUGAAAGAAUGUGCGGUUAGGAUGAUAGUGAUCCCCGGUUAAAUUGAUAGUGGUCCUCUAGGGUUGAGUGGGUGGUUGGUUUAAUAGUAUAAUCUAAUGGGUGGAAAUCAUCAAAGGGUUGAUCUAAUGGUAGAAAACUCAAUAAUACCAAGGACUUGAUACUAUCGAUAGUAUAGUAGCCAGACUCUAUAUAUAUAUAUAUAUAUAUAUAUAUAUGUAGCGUUUGGUUCGGGGAUAAGCAAGAACUAGUUAUUCCAGGAAUAGGUACAAAUAUGGAGAUAAGAGUAAUUUUGUGUUUGGAUGAAAAUAGAUAUAGGUAUAGGUAUAAGGAGGGAUAAGGAAAAAAGUGUUUGGAUGGUAUUUGGGGAUAAGAGAAUAGUAGGUUGGUGAAAUGUAAAAAUUACCCAAUUACCCCUAAUGAGAAAAAGAGAAGCCUGAGUUGUAGGAUUCGUAAGUUAUAUUUUUUUAAAUUCAUAUUUACGUAAAAUAAACCGAUUAUUUUUUAACCGAUACAAUAAUAAAUAAAUCAAAAUGUAGCGCGGCAUUUGUAAAAAGGCAUACGCUAUUUUCGAAAAGACGUACAAACAGGUAGGUGCAAAUGCCGCAAUUUUUAGAUUGUAACAUAGCACAGAAUCUAUAUUCUUUCUAACAUAAUUAUAUUUAGACACAUUACAUAAAUAUAUUACAAAUGAAGAUUAUAUAUAGUCCUACAACCAAAUAAAAGCAGGAAACUUCAUGAUCAAUUAUUCCAUAGUUGGUCGGUAAUAGAGCGCCGCAAGGACUCCCCACAUGUCGAAUCAUCGCCUCCACUUGGAAUAGGGUCUGGAUGGUCGGUAAUAGAGCGGAUCGUACCGUUGCCGUGAUGUGCACAUCGAGAUCGCCACUACCGCCACGAAAGGGGAGUCGGAAGAGGCAAGAUCCAUGUCAAGUGGGUGCACGACAGCAAGCAAGGCCGCGGGAAACCCACCGGAGUUGUAGAUCCCCAACCGAUCUCGCGCGCAGCAACGGUUUCGCAAACCCACAAGCUUUGGGGAAACCACGGGUAUGGUCGGCUGGAGAUGAAGGGAGGGAGAGGACUCGCGGGAGGGAGCGGUGGAGAGAGAGGAACCGGCUGCAGGGGAGAGGGAGCUCGGUGAGGUGAGGUGGAGAGAGGAAACGGCUCGAUCCACGUCCAGUGGGUGCACGGCUGCAAGAAAGCCCGCCGGAAACCCACCGGAGUUGCAGAUACGCGUUUGGUUCGCACCAAGGGUUUCGCAAACCCACAAGAUUUGGGGAAACCAUGGGCUCCGUCGGCCAGAGGCAAAGGGAGGGAGAGGACUCACGGGAGGGAAAGGUGGAGAGAGAGGAACCCGCGGCGGGAGACAAGGAGCUCGGUGAGGUAAGGUGGAAAGAGAGGAACCCGCUACAGGACCUCGGUGAGAAAGGGAGAGAGGGAGCUUCCCUUGCUACAAAGAAGGGGAGAAGAUGCCAGGGAUAGUUUGGGUAUUUUUCACUCACGAGCCACACUACGACAAAAAGGGGGUGGGAACUGUUGUUCCCACCCCUCUUCACUUAUCCCCAUGGUGGUGGGUUCCCACCACCUAAAAAGAUGUUUGGGGAUUAGCUGGGGGAUAAGAGCUAAUCCCCCAGCUAAUUCCAAACCCAAACACUGUCAUAGAGUUCGGCUACUAUACUAUUGAUAGUACCGAACCCUUAGUACUAUUGAGUUUUCUACCGUUAGAUCUAUCCUUUGAUCAUUUCCACCGGUUAGAUUAUACUAUUAAACCAACCACCCACUCAACCCUAGGGGACCACUAUCAGGGCGUGUUUAGUUCGAAGUCGAAGCCGGAAUCGAAAUCGGAAUCAAAAUAAGUUUGAAUUAGAAUCGGAAUGACUCAUUACCUAAUUCUGUUUGGUUCAUCACCUGAAUCGGAAUCGGAAUAAAUCAUUUCCAUUGUCGGUGUUUGGUUCAGAUGGAUAUAAAAAACAUAAUCAAAUUAAUAUACUAACAUUAUCUUUAUAAUAUAUUAAUUUAAAUUCAAAUAAAAAAUUAAAUAUUAAAAAUUUACAUUAAAAUUUUGAAAUAAUGUCAGAAUUUUUAAUCUAUUUUUUUAAAAAAAAAUUAAACUUUGAAGAUGAGUGGAUAAUUCAAAAUAUGAAACUAAAUUUUGAUUUAUUCAAAUUCAAACUUUAAAAAUUAUAAUUUAAAUUUUAAUUUGAAUCCAUAAAUUUAAUUUAAGUUUUAAAUAAAAUUUGAAUAAAACUUUAUAUAAAUUAAAAUUUAAUUUAAAUUCAAAUUCAUAAGUUAGAUUCGAAAUACUUGAUUAAAUUUUAAUUUUUAAUUUAAAUUCAAAUUAAAAUUUAAAAUUAUAUAUUUAAUUUUUAAAUCUUAACUCAUUUUUAAUUAAAAAAGUUGAAAAGAUAAUUUAAUCCGAAUAAAUAUCCAUUCCGUCCGGAUUCAACUUCCAAUCCGGCCACCUACGCCGGAUUGAAAAAAGAGGUGAAUGGGGGAUUUCCAUUCUACUUGGUAAUCAGAAUCGAAAUGGAACUCCCGCGUACUAAACACCCACAAAUGAAUUUACCCAUUCUGAUUCCGAUUUCAGGGUGAAAAGGAAGCGAACCAAACACGCCCUCAAUUUAACUGGGGACCACUAUCAUUCUAACCGCACAUCCUUUCAUCCAACGGCCAAAAACUCAAUAGUACCAAGGGUUUGGUACUACUGAUAGUAUAGUAGCACAAUUCUAUAUAUAUAUAGAGAGAGAGAGAGAGAGUUUGAUUUGACUACUAUUAGUAAUAAACAGCUCUAUUUACUACCUAUUUGUUUUCAAUAAUAAAGCUUCCGAAUCGACAAUCGGCACUAUUGAACAUGAUCUAGAGUUCUAGACUAUUUAAACUAUCUAAAAAUCAAAUUUCUUACCUUUUCUACAUCACUGAUUGAACGAUGAAAAGGUCAAAAAAAAUCUAUAACUUUAAUGGUUUUUUUUUUAAUGGAAACGUAGCAUGCUACCCGCUUUAUUUAUUUCAUUUAAAAAUAAACUUAGCUGAAAAUAUAAAUCAACUAAGAUUCGAACUUGGGUCUCGGAUACCAACCACCAAGCCCUUUUGCCACUUGCACUAGGGACGGUUAGUUACAAUUUUAAUGGUUGAAAUGAUGCAUUUAUUUGUUUAACGGUAUAGAAGAGUCCAAAUCAACUAAGUUUUUGUUAUAAAAUUCUUUAAACUAUUUAAAACAAGAUCUAAACUAUAAAUCUUAAAUACAAAAAUUGUAUCAUCUCUUUUGAAAGACAUUCAUUUUUCAGCCAUUCAUUUUUUAUUCACUUGAUGAAUAAGAGAACAAUAUCAAAAAAAUAUAAAAUUUAUUUUUUAAAUAAUUUAAAUAAUUUAAAUCAAGUUUAAUGGUGCCGAUCGUCGAUUUAGAAGCUGUAUCAUCUAAAAUAAAUCGGUAGCAAACCUAACCAUUUACUUUGGAUAGUAUUCUAAUAAAGAUCCAUAUGAGCUAGGCUGGUAUACUAUCAGUAGCACGGAGGCCUCCGUACUACCAAAUUGUUUUCAAUGAUGCGGAUUUCAAAUCGACGAUCGGCUCCGGUAGAAUUGAUCUGUACUAUUAAAAGUAUUUGGAAACUAAAUUUCAUAAUUUUUCGAUAUUAUUUGGCUAGUGAUCAAAAGAUCUCAAAAUUGACAAUUUUAAUAGUAGAUGUGAUGUGUUUGUGAAUUUAACGGUAUAAAAUAAUCCAUAUCUAAUGAAAUUUUUAUAGAAAAUUUUUUUCACUAUUUAGAAUAAGAUCAAUACCUUUGAUCUUAAAUUCAAGUUUUCUAUCAUCAUUUAAAAUUGAAAAUUUUAAUGGUAGAUGUGAUGUGCUUGUGAAUUUAACGGUGUAAAACAGUCCUAAUCUGAUGAAAUUUUUAUAGAAAAUUUUUUUCACUAUUUAGAAUAAGAUCAGUAUCUCCGAUCUUAAAUUUAAGUUUUUUAUCAUCAUUUUUAAUGAGAUUUUUUUUUUUAGCCGUUUAUUUUUAGAUUACUCGUUUAGUAGGUAAAUGAUGUCGAAUAAUUAUAAAAUUUAGUUUCCAAAUACUUUCAAUAGUGUAGAUCAAGUCUAACGGAGCCGAUUGUUGAUUUGAAAGCCGCAUCAUUAAAAACAACUUAGUAGCAUAGAGACCUUGUGCUACCGAUAAUAUACCAGCCUAGCUCUCUAUAUAUAUCUCAAAACUUGGGAGCAUAAAUGGAGGACAGUCAUACUAGUACUGUAGGUCACUGUUUCAUCCUCUGCUACUUAAUUAGUACAGUCAUACUAGUACUGUAGGUCUUGUUGUUUUGUGUUGCUCAUAAUUAUACAGCGUCCAGCUGUAGGUCGCAGGGACGCGGACAAAUUAUUCUAUAAAUUUUGUAAUUUAAAUAAAUUUUUUAGCUAUUCAUUUGUGAGUUUAGGUAAAUUAUCAAAAAUUGAUCAAACAAAACAAAGUGAAAAAUGUAGCUAAAAUGCAGCUUUCACCAAAUAGUUUGUUAAGUGCAAAUGCAAUUUUAUAAUCUAGCAGUUUUUUUUAAUACAUAAAAAUUCAAAUUAUUGGAAGGUCAUGCAUGCAGGGAAAGUUUCUUCUGUAAAUAUUAUGUAUUAACAAAAGAAUAACAAUAUCUAAUUAAAAUUUUCUAUUUUGCAUUAACGUGCUACAAGAAUAUUUUUUCUUUCUCCACAAAAUUAUGGCAUUAUUCUUAAUUAGAUCUAUAAUUAUCUCACAUUACCUAAUAGUACAAUUAUUCCAUGCUAUAUUACGCCAUGCACGUAUAUGUUUACUUAAGGAGGGAGAAAAAAGGCAAUUUGAGAAGUAGGAGAAUUUAACUUGGAUUUGCAGCAUAUGCUGACCAAAAAAUGGCUCCAAGUAAUGAACAAAUUAAAAAAGAACACAAGUGGGAAAUUAAUUAAUUUGGUUUUUUUGGAAAAGAAAAGAAAAAAAAAAGAACAUCCAUUGGCUCGCGGGGAGUUGACUAUGGGGUUCUUUUUAAGUGCAUUAUUGAAAGAGUGAUGGACCACUUCAACAUACCCCACAUAUAUAUAUAUAUAUAUAAUAUAUUAUAUAUAUAAUAUAAUAUAUAUAUAUAGUCCGGCUACUGCACUCUUAUGAGUACGAUCGCACUCGUACUCAUAAGUUGUUUUCGAUGAUAGACUUCCGAAACGACGAUCCACACCGUUAAAUGUUAUCUAGACCAUUUAAAACUCUAGAAAUCAAUUUUAUAAUUUUUCGACAUCAUUUACCUUACGAUCAAAAGCUUACAAAAUUGACAAUUUUUAACGGCCGGUAUAGAAUACUUGCUAGCUUAACGGUGGAAAAAGAAUCGGAAAUAUGUUGAAUUUUUGAUAGAAAAUCUAUUAACUACCUAGAUAAAGAUCAAUAACUCCGAUCUUAAAUUGAAGGAUCCAAUCAUUCAUUUUUAGGUCGUCGUUCGCUUUGACCGUUUAUUUUAUGCCGCUUGAUGGACUUUAUUGAUAUUCGAAAAAUUACGAAAUUAUUUUUUAGAAGUUUCAAAUACUCUAGAUCAUAUUUAACGGUAUGGAUCUUGAUUUCGGAAGCUCCAUCAUCGAAAACAACUUGAGUACUAAGGCCCACUACUCAUAAGAGUAUAGUAAGCUCUACUAUAUAUAUAUAUAUAUAAUAUAUAUAUAUAUAUAUAUAUUAAUAUAUAAUAUAUAUAUAUAUAUAUUAUAGAGUUGAUCAAGGAUACUUUUACAAGUAUCAUCCUCAUAUUGCUAUCAGUUUUUAGCCAUUGAACUACUUUUUGAUUACAAAUAGUCCUUGGAUCAAACACUAUUCCACCUACCACCACCUACUACCAUCAUCUCAAUCUCACAUCUCUCCAUCCAAGGCUAAAAACACACAAGUAUCACUUGGUGAUACUUGUAAAAGUAUUCUAGCCUACUCUAUAUAUAUAUUAUAUAUAUAUAUAUAUAAUAAUAUAUAUAUAUAUAAUUAUUAUAAUAUAUAUAUAUAUAUGCUUUAAUCCCGCAACAUGCACACAUACACAGAUACAUGUACACACACAUAUGUUUAUAUAUUAUAUCCCUCUUAUGCAAUUAUAUAUAUGAGAGAGCUAGCUCGGUUCAUUUUUCCUGUAUAGCCAACACCUAGUGCAGUUCUCUCUCUCUCUCUUUCUCAGAUCAUCUCUUCUUUGCAAACUCUCCAUUCUUUUUCUAUCCUCUCGAUAGAUCGAUCGAUAUCGCUGUGCUCAUGCGAAUGACUAGCCCUCCGACAACGGCGCCCCCUCGAAGCCAUGAGUAAUCUAAUAGUCCCAAGAUCUAAGGUCAUGUUCCACCAAGUUUAUGAUAGAGGUUAAUAUAUACAUAUAUAUCCAUAUCUCUUUCAAUUAUAUAUAUUCAUAGUUUCCUUUUACAUAUAUAUAUAUAUAUAGAGAGAGAGAGAGAGAGAGUUUGGUUUCUAUUUCAUGGUUUUGUUUUUGAAAUCGAGUUUCAUUUACAUAUUUAUACACAGUGGGUUCUUCCUCUUAUUACUUUGGUUGUAAACCAUAUAUAUAUAUACAUAUAUAUAAAUAUAAAGAUAAGCAUUUGGAUCAAAGAAAGUACAUAGAAGUUGGUCCAUAUGCGGAAGGGAAGGAAAGGGCUGAUCAUGAAGACGUUGGAGAGAUGCCGAUCGAUCGGCGGCGGCGGCGGCGGAGGCACAAACCCUAGCCCUAAGGGGUUCUUGGCGGUGCACGUCGGAGCGGGAAGAGAGCGGUUCGUGGUGCGGACGGAGUGCCUGAACCACCCGCUCUUCCGCGGGCUCCUCGAGGAGGCGGAGACCGAGUACGGGUACGCCGUGGAGGGCCCCCUCGAGCUCCCGUGCGACGUCGAAGCCUUCCACGCGGUGCUGUCGGAGAUUGAGCAGGACGCGGGCGGUGGUGGCAGGGGGCCGUCGUCGCCGCUCUGCGGCCUCGCCAGAAGCCAGUCCAAGUAUCGGCUGCUCAGCCCGGCACAGCUCGCGCUCGUCGGAAAAUCAUAUUAAUUAUUGUUAUUAUUAUUAAGCAACAAGUUAUUUUAAGUUAAGAGUAAUUAGUACUCUCUAGUUUAGUUUUUGUGUGGUGCAUUUGUAUUACUAUGUGAGGUAGAUGCAUGCAUGCAUGCAUAUGGUAGUUGUUUACUUGCUCCCUUUUGGUUAAUUUUAUGUAGGAGCGAGCUAGCUAGCUAGGUAGCCAAGGUGCUACUCAAUGGAACUAGGGUUGAGUGGGUAAAAAUAUGUAACUACUAAAAGAGUUUGAAUGCUAUACAAAUGGAUGAAUCCGACUAUACGAAGAGCACACUAAUAAAAUAAAGAUUCAAGACUCAACCAGUUGUUAUAGUCUCUUCUGAUCGCACUAAAAUUUAAAAUUUGAAAUCGAUUUUUAUCAUCCACAAAAUGUGUAUGAUUUCUUGAAAAGCGUGAAAAAUAUUUUGAAAAGAACAUUUUAUAUUAUAUAAAACACUUUUUCUCUAUCAUUUUUAUUUUGCGAAUAAAAAAAAAUACUACUUUAUCACAAAAUCUUAAAAAACUUUUUUUUAAAAAAAAAAACCUACUUUUUCUAAAAGCACACGUACGGAAAAGUAACUUUUCCAACCAAAAAAUUAUUUUCUAAAAUAUUUUCCAAAAAACCGAACACUAAUAACCAAACAACUAAAAAUUAGAAGAGUUUCAGCAGCAGCAGCAAUCACACGCUAUUUGUUACCAAAAUAAGACGCAAUAACAAAUACUUUAAAUUAUUGCUGCGCGUGACUACUGAUGCAAUACAUUGUAGAAUAACAAUCUCUUACGGGCACAUAUUGUUUAAUAAAUUCAACUCUAAUUUGUAUUCUAUAUACACGUUGCUGUUAUAGUGAGCUAAGCAUCACAUGAUCUUAUCAUAUUUGUUGUCCCUGCAAGGGUGUUAGUUCAUCUGCUUGAACACAAUGGUAUAUUAUAAUUAGCUUAUAAGAUAAAUGAUGGAUCAUGAGAUGAUCAGAAGAGGUCUAAUUAAAAGAGAAUAUUGUACAACAUAGCUACAAGAAAGGCUACAACAUCUUUCACAUUUGAAUAUUUGAGUUUUUAAGCUAAGUUAGAUCACCGGAAAAUCGCCACCAAACUAUAACAGUAGUAGAAGAUGCGUACCCCCUUCCUUAAGCUACUUACCAUCAUCUCCAUCUGAAUCAUUAUCUUCCUCUUCUUCUUGCGCAUCUUCUUCGCCAUCCUCAUCUUCCUGAUCAUCAUCAUCGUUGCCGUCAUCGUCAUCGUCGUCAUCUGACAUAUUAUUUAUCACUUCUUCUAUUAUAUGCUUCACCUCUGCCUUUCUAUCCAUUAAAUCCACAUUGAAAUGCGCUCCUGCCGACAAAGAACCAUUCUCAUGUCAGAUGUGCUUACAUGUACUGAAACUCUGUUUAUUAUCAAUUAAGUCACCAUGCUUGAAUAAAUUGGCAAUUUCGUAAUUUUCUCAAAUAGGACUAAAUGAUAGGUUUUAAGAGUAAUAUUAGUACCUAAUUGCCGGAGAAUAUCUGCUAAAGUUGCCUGCACCAAAGUUGAUCUUAUCACUAGUUACCAGGAAGAAAAGCAGAAUAGGAGUGAAUAAAGUAAAUUGGCGCUACCCACCGUAUUGAAGUCCACUUCUUUCAAUAUCUCGCUAACCACAGCAUGUAAUUCUUCAGUGCUUGGUCCCUUCGGGGCAUCUCCAUUUGCCUUGCCUUUUCCUAGUAUCAUAAAAGAGAGUCAUAAACAUCUUAAAAAGCUUCAUUUCAAUAGUCAAUAAAGUACUAGCCAACUACAAACAGCAAUAUGUAAAGACCAACUAAUUUUGAAAUCUUACUUUGUUUUGUGGCAGAAACCUUUGGCUCCGCCUUAGCAGCACUUUUCUCGCUUGUCUUUUUAUUCUCAGUAGAAGAGCUUUUGCUCUGUGAUUUACUCUUAUCCUUGUUCUUGGAUUUGGAAGCUGUUGAUGGAACCAAUUUAGCCUCAUCUCUCGAUCUUUUGCUUGGUGUAGAUUCUAAGGAGCCUUUAUUGGUCUUAUUGGACUUCGGAGGUGCAUCACUACCCUUUGAAGAGCUCUUAGAUACCUUUUUGAGCUCCUUAGAACUCUUGUCCUCCAAUUGGUCAGCUGGUUUAUCUUGUGCAGCAACCUUUAUCUUAGAAGCAGAUUUAGGGCUUUUAGCAGGGUUUGUAGAAAUGGCUUCUUCAGCAGAAAAGGCCUUUUCUUUCCCCUUUGACCCAGUGUUCUUUUGUGCCACCUCUUUGGAAGCCUUUUUGCUCGUAGCAGGCUUUUCUUGUUCAUCUUCCUGACUUUCUUCUUGAUCACUCAUAACGUGGUCGGUCUCUUUCUCUGAAUCUUCAUUAUUGCCUUUUUCUUCUUCUUCUUCUUCUUUUGGUUGUUCUCUAGAUUCUUCCUCUGAAUCUGCAGAAUGAUCCUCUUCAUUUCCUUUUUCAGCUUCAACUGAUUGCUUACUACUCUUCCUUUGUCUCUGGAUAUUAUAAGUUACAGCAUAUCAAUACGCAAUUAACUGCCAUAAACAGUAAAGAGCAAUCCAACAAUCAUUAUGGACUCCCAGAAGCACUGUGCUAAUAAAAGCAACUAGAGUUUUGCAACAAUAUCAGUUCUAAUUUGAUUGUCAACAAUUAGUGAACUCUAUGAGGCCUCAUUCCAAUCUUGCAAUUAGCCAUGCUCACUCAUAGUUGACUUGAUUAAGCUCACAAAUGCAGAUAGACAAGACAAAUGAAAGAUAUAGUUCAGUGUAAAUGUAUGAAGUGAACCAAAUGAGAAGCAGAAACUGGUAAUAGCAGGAAAAAGAAGACCUUUUCCUCUCUAUCUAAAGAUGGUUCAUUCGAUGUUGCCAGUCCUUUCGAUCUCUUAUGUUUUUUAAAUUUCUGCCAGCAACAUAAACAAUAGAUGAGAGUAAGUACAAUCUACAAUCAAAUAGAUAACAAUCUCAACAGAGUAAGCGUGAUACCUUCUGUUUCUCAGAAAGUAAAACAUCUCUCGUAACAUAUGGAGAUUCCAAAAAUUCUGACAACUUCGCUGAAAUUUCCUCCUGAAAAGCAUACAAAAUAAGACUCUUUGACAUCUGUCUAUGUCGCACACGCGGGCGCGGGCGCGCGCACGUGAGCGCUGGCGCGCGCACGCGCACGCGCGCGCGAGAGAGAGAGGGAGAGAGAGGGGAUGUUCCACAACUAACCAACCUUCUUGGUAGCAGUUUUCACAUCAUGCACAUCAAGUAACUCACAAAAAUCAAGUAACUUCUCUUUGUGGCAUCUAUCAAGCUUUUCCUUAAGCUUGGCCUUUUGCUUUACCUGAAUAAGCAAAAUAGCCAAAAUAUAUGAAUUAUUAAUGAGAAAUAAGGAGCCAACUUAACUAAUACUAUAAACAUCUAACUACAGAAAUUAACAGGCUUACAUAACAAAGUAAAAUCAAUUGAUUUAUGCGUUUUCAAAUUCAAUACCUAAAAGACAGUAAUACUAUAUAUCUCAAAGAAUUAUCACAUGACACCGUGAUCUACAGCAUGCCGGCAUGACACAAACAUAGACAGAUGAGGAUUUUCGGAAAGAUUCUAGAGAAAGAUAAACCAAUUUAGCAGCGGAACUUCCUAGAAUUUUUUAAUAGAAUAAGGGAACUGAUUAGUUUGAGAUGUCUUUUGUGUACAAAAAACAACAUAGCAUGCACGCUCAGAGCUUGUAUUCAUGGGCAGCCGUAAUAUGAGUAUAUAUGUCCAACUAAAGGCCUGUUCACUAGGGCUUUUAGAACUUGUCUACUGGAGAAGAAGAUUUAGGCAUUUGGUCACAAAAAUAUCUCAGCCCCUGAAAUUGGAGAUUUCGGAUUCGUCGAAUAUUGUUGCAAAAAGAAAAACUGUUAUGGCUUCCCAAAAAGCAAUUGUUUAAUACAACAAAAGCUAAAUAGGACAAAGGGAACCAUUAAACUAACAACGAAGACCAUCCUAAUUUACUGACUAGAUAUUAUAUAGUUCAAGACUGUAUAGACCAAGGCCAUUGAUCCAAACACCAAAAAACACAUCAUCGAACAGCACCACACUUUAGCAGCAAGCCCAAGCAUGCCAAACCGUAUGGUGACGAAAGAGCCUUCUCUUGAUAAUACAUAUAUUAGAACUUAGAAUGUUACAGAGCAUUAUUUUGUUAUAGUUUAAAUGGGAGUUCCUUAACUUAAAACCUGAUUUUGCAUUUAUAAAUGGGGUAAGCUUUCUAAGUAUUAUUGCUGCAAGAUAGACUGCGAUCAAAUCAUCAAGAUACAGUAUCUCAAGAUUUAACAAAGCAUAGAAAUAUUAGCAUUGGACAUCAGAAGCACAUAACUUAUAAAACUAUAAGAACAUUUUCAUAGUAAGGGAAAAGAAGAGUGUUGGGAUGGACGAUUUAUGCUACCUCAUUCUCAUCCCAAACAAAACCAGAGAACUGUAAAAUGUUUCUCUUCAGAGAAUGGGCCUGCAAAGAGAACCUUUACCAUAAAUUAAUAAACAAGUACCGAGCAAGAUAAGUAGUGUAAAAGUAAUAAUUUGACAGAAUCUUCGAAGAGGAACUCUUACAUUCGAUUUCUUUCCAAAAAGAAUUCUGUGAAGGACUUGAAGAUUCUCAUCAGCUUUUCUUUUUGACAUCUUGAAAGAAACUGAUAAUAUAUAAGCAGUAUUAGGCAAAAAAAUAAAUAAUAGCUAGUAACAAAUUAGUGCAUAUGACUACUGCUGAACUCUACACUGCUGUCGAACAAGAACUAUGAAAAAAAGCUGGAAAAUAAAUAGCAAAUAGUACCGUUUGGAAUGUCUUUCAGCAUGGUUCCAAAACCCUAAAAAAACCCACAAGAAAAACAUUACAUUGAGCAUAAAUCAAUCAUAAACAAAAGGAAUUAUAGUCCAGGCCUGAUCUAAUAUUUUUAAAACAAAAGUACCUUUAGGAGAAGGUAUGAAAAUUGAAGAGCCACUCCAUACCUUUAGCUUUAGAUUUUUUCUUUUUUUUUAUUUGGGUGAUUUAAUCAUUAAAAUGGAGAUUUUAAUAUACGCACCCAUUAUUCCACUAAUUUAAUGGCUUUAAUCACUUCUUAGUAAAUAAAAGUAAAACUAGAACAAUUACCUGCUAAUGCUUAAUAAAACCAUUAAAUUCAACAAAAUCUUGAACUUAACUAACUAAAAUAUCUCUAAUGAACAAAAAGGAACAGAAAUUGAGAUGGUAUCAAACAAAGGAACGAAGUUAAGGGGCAUGUUUCAAACUAGCCUAUAUAAUUGAGCAGCUCUUCGGCACAUUUUUACCUAAUAUGCUCUACAGUCCACAAAUUACGCAGUAGAUCGGGAACAGGAUAUAAGAAGUCAUUUACCUGCAAGAUCGCCGGCGACUUCUUCGCCGAGGAGCUCCGGGGAGACGCCGACGUGUACCUCUCGACGGCCUUCCGCUCCCUCGACGGCCUCUUCUCCACGGGCGUCGCUGGCUCCUUCUCCGCCGACCCCCUCCUCUUCUUCUCCACCACGUCCUCCCCAUCCACCUUCGCCCCCUCCUCCGCCUCCUCCUCCUCCCCCUCCCCCUCCUUCGCCCCUUCCUCCUCCCUCUCUCCUCCCUUCUUCUUCUUCUUCUUCUUCUUCUCUCCUCCUCCUUUCUUCCUCCCCCUCUUCCGCUUCUCCACGCCUACUCCCUCCACCGCCGCCGCAGCAGCAGCGGCGGCGGCAACAGUAGCAUCUGGAGUGGCCGGGUCACGAUCCUUCCCCUCUUCCUCGUCUCCGGGAGGGGAUCCGUCGCCGGAGUUCUUCUCCUCGCCUAGGGUUUCGGAGCUCAUGGAGAUCGGGGCCGGGGAGAUCGAAAUCGGGUCGUAAAACCCUAGUGGAUUCGAGGAGUGACCAGUGAGAGAGAGAGAGAGGGAGAGAGAGAAAGAGAGAAAGGGGGAGAGAGAGGGUUUUAGCGCGGAUUCCAAAUGAAAAUCCAAUCUAAUUUAAGAGCGGGAGUUGGGGGCGCGGACAUUUUUUAGGGCAUGUUUGAAAUUUCGCGCCGAAAAUUUGGGAAAAGAGGUAAUCCCACAUUGCCAACGUUUGGGGGCUACUGAACCCAACUUUUUAAAUUCUAAACUCUAGUUAAGAGCAUGUUGGGUUCGACAAAACUUUAUUACGACAAACAGGCGACCUCCAAUCAUAUGCAGGUCUCGACAUUACACGCAUUGGAGGUGAAGUUUUGAAGCUCAGAAUCUCAUUUCACAGCUGGUAAGUAGGUGUUAACGAAAAGAAUAGAAAAAAAAUAUCCAUGCUUUUUGAUCGAGAGGAAAUUACAACAUUUGAAGUUACAUGCUUUUCAACUUGAAUUCUUCGUAGUGACUCUGUUUUUGAGAGAUAGAUAGCACGCUACCUGCUUCAUCUAUUUCAUUUAGAAAUAAACUUAGCUGAAAAUGUUAAUCAACUAGAAAUUCUUCGUAGUGACUUGAUCUCGAUGAAGUACGUUACAUUCAGCAACUUGAUGAAUUAGAUUUUUAUUCACUUUUGGCUAAAAAUUAAGAAACUUCGAAGAUUCGAGGUUUUGACUUAAAAUUUCGAAUGACAGAAAUAUCUUAAAGAUGUGCUAUUGAAGUUAUUUUUAAAACUUUUUUUUUGAGAGAUAGGUAGCACGCUACCCGCUUCGUUUAUUUCAUUUAGAAAUAAACUUAGCUGGAAAUGUAAAUCAGCUGGAAAUGUGAAUCAGCUGGAAGUGUAACAUGAAAGCUGCUGCUAAUCCGAAAUCACCUUAAGGGUGCGUUUGGUUCGCAUUAUAAAAGAUUACUAGGAAUAAAAGAUAUCCGAGAAUCUGAUUACUAUUCAUCCUAUUACUAAGAAUGUGGAAUUCCUGUGUUUGGUUCACACAGUAAUAUUAAUUAGCCAUGUUAUUUAAUAUUACAAAAAUUAUACAAUUAAUUUAUUUAUUUAUUUAAUUAAUUUUAGAUAAUGUUACCAAAAGUUUCAACAUCUUUUUAGAAAAAAGAGAGAGAGAGUAUAAGUUAGAGAGAGAGAGAGCAUAAUUAAAAAAAUAGAAAGAAAAAUAUAGUCGAAAUUAGAGGGAGUGAGAGAGUUGAAAUUUUAGAAAGAGAGAGAGAGAGAAAGCUUAGUUUAGAGAGAGAAAAAAAAGUUGAAUUUUAGAGAGAAAAAUAAGUCUAGAGAGAUAUAAGGUUAGAGUGUAAAGAAAAAUAAUAUCAAUUAGCCGGCGGGUAGGAAGAAAGAAAGAGAUUAGACAUAUUAUGAUUACCCCAAUCCAUUAAUAUAAGGAUACUCACCCUCCCUCAAGGGAAUGAGAUUAGUACUUUGGGGUGAAUCUUAUUCCCAAGUGAAUCUAAUAUUACCAACUAGAUUACUUAGUGCGUUUAGCUAAACACCGUCAUAUUUUUUUAUUCCCAUUGGAUUACUAGGAAUCUUUAAAAGAUAGCGCGAACCAAACGCACCCUAACGGUUGAAUGUUGUGAAAGAAGAUCCUCCUAUCCUUGCUUGGUACAGUAUUUAUUAAUUAGGUAUCUAGAGUUUGAAUAUGACUAAAUCGUGAUAAUCUUGGCCUAAUCCUCGAGAAAUUGAGAUGCCCGUCUCUUUCCAAACAGAAGUCCAACCUAAAACUUAGGCUUAGUUUGAUAUUGAAGCCUAUCUAAUGCGAGAUAAAAUAGAGUUGGGGUAAAAAUAUGUAGAGAUAUGCUUCUACGUUUUCUGGUGGGACCAUAAAAAAUAUAUCGUGACCGACUAAUCGCGAUAUAUGAAACACAAUAUUACGUACAGAAAAUAAACAUAAUAUUUUUUCUAUCAUACUUUCUCACCGCACGUAAUGCAAUAUCCCCGCAAUGGCAAGCGAAGCCUUGCACAUUAGAUAGUAAAGAUUUUAGGCUAACAGUAGAUGCGGCGCAUACUCCACUUCUGCAUUUGACUUUGUGCUGCCAAACAUCAGAUCUUUAAAGAUAGGUCUUUGCCGAAAGGCAUCCACUUUAACCUUUGAUCGAAUCUUGAGAUCAACAAAAAGUCAACUUAAACUAUGUUUGGACGCUAAAUUAAGCUCACAAUUAAUCUUUUCAAAGGUGUUUUUCCCAGUGAAAACAAAUGUUUUAUUUUAAGCAAGUAAUACCAUUGAAUUAAUCGGCAACGCCAACGAGAGAUGAUUAUAUAUAUAUGUAAAACAGAUAACUUGGUACACAUUCUUAAUUUUUGUUUUUAUUUCGUAUGAUGAUAAUUUUCACUUGAAUCUUUAUUUACUCUUAUUUAACUACUAUUAAGAAAAAAAUUUGUUGUUGACACAUGAGCUCAUGUAAAUACAACAUACAUCUCCUCUACUACUCUCAUUAUUGAGUAACAAUAUUUUAUCAAUUUAUAAAUUUCUUUAACUAAUUAUACAUACGAGAUGGACGAACGAUGAAUAAAUAACGAAGGUGUGAGGUGGGAGCAAUAAUUUCCCUCUAAUUAUUAUAACUAACUAAAAUGAAAAGUUUUUAAAAAUUGAAAACGCUAAUGCAGGAGGAGGCACAACUGCAACAGUUUGAAUUACGCCCAAAUUGGUCGCAGUUCCAAGUACAAUAGUUGAAGAGAAUAACUUUAAACAAAAAAUCUACUUACCUUCCUAAUUAUUUUUUAAACAAAAAAUAAAUAUAUUUUUUACAUUGGAGAUAAUAUCACCAUCAUAUAUAUAAAAUGAUAAAAUUUUAAAAAUAAUUUCUCAACUACAUGCAACCAAAUAAAUUAUUUAUAGUUGCAAUGGUUUCUACUACAUCCAACCAAACACGAUACAUGUAGUUGUAACUACUGCAUUUCCAAAUUAUUUAUAAUUGCAACGUUUUUUACUAUAUCCAACCAAACAGAAUGUAUGAAGUUACAACUACUGUAUUUUCAACUAUAUUUAUUUCAACUACACUGCAUUUGUAAUUACAUAUAAUCAAACAGUCCAUUAAAAAAAGUCAAAAUUCAAAAAGUGAGACACUUUAGGAUGACAUCGCCAAAAAGAAACUAAUUAUACUUUGGGGAUUCUUGAUUUUCUGAAAAAUAUCACAAAAAAGUAGUUUUCUGGACGAAAAAAGUAAGAGCAAUUACUUAUAUACUCCUGAAAAGUUUUCGACUUUCUAAUUUAUCCAUCUUAGAAGGCUAAUAUUGAAAAUACCUUUUUUACGUUUCGAUAUAUUUCAAACAUACUCCAGAGUUAAAAUCUGUUAAUGAACUCUAUUAUCUCUAUGAAAUUACUAUUUUGCCCUUUCAAAUAUUCCCUUUUACCAUCACUGAUUUUUCUUAUUUGCCCUUAAGUUAGAGGCACAAUAAGUAUUUUACUUUUUGGUCUUUCCAAAUAUACCCUUCUACCAUCACCAAUAUUUCUUAUUUACUCUUAAGUUAAGGGUAAAAGUGUCAUUUUAAUUUUUUUAACUGUGGUAGAUAUUUAGGGCGUGUUUGGUUCGAAGUCGGAGUUGGAAUCGCAAUCGGAAUCAAAAUAAGCUGGAAUCGGAAUCGGAAUGGCUCAUUACCUAAUUCCGUUUGGUUCAUCAUCUGAAUCGGAAUCGGAAUAAAUCAUUCCUAUUGUUGGUGUUUGGUUCAGGUGGAUAUAAAUAAAAAACGUAAUCAAAUUAAUAUACGAACAUUAUCUUUAUAAUAUAUUAAUUUAAAUUCAAAUUAAAUAUUAAAUAUUAAAAAUUUACAUCAAAAUUUUUAAAUAAUAUCAAAUUUUUAAAUCUAUUUUUUUAAAAUAAAUUAAUCUUUGAAGUUGAGUGGAUAAUUCAAAAUAUGAAACUAAAAUUUUAUUUAUUCAAAUUCAAAUUUAAAAUUACAAUUUAAAUUUUAAUUUGAAUCCAUAAAUUUAAUUUAAGUUUGAAAUAAAAUUUGAAUAAACUUCAUAUAAAUUAAAAUUUAAUUUAAAUUCAAAUUCAUAAGUUAGAUUCAAAAUACUUGAUUAAAUUUUAAUUUUUAAUUUAAGUUCAAAUUAAAAUUUAAAAUUAUAUAUUUAAUUUUUAAAAUUUAACUUAUAUUUUAAUUUAAAAAGUUGAAAAAAUAAAUUUAAUCCGAAUAAAUAUCCAUUCCGUCCGGAUUCAACUUUCAAUCCGGCCUCCUAGGCCGGAUUGAAAAAAGGGGUGAUUGAGGUAUUCCCAUUCCACUCGGGAAUUGGAAUCGGAAUGGGACUCCCGCGUACCAAACACCCACAAACGGAUUCACCCAUUCCGAUUCCGAUUCCAUGGUGAAAAAGAGGCGAACCAAACACGCCCUUAGCUUAUGUUUAACCUAAGUUAACUUAACGGAUAGUAACUCCAGGGGUAUUUGGAAUAACGGAUGAGCAUAUGAGGGGUAUAAUAGAAAGAAAAAAAAAUAGAGAUAAAUGAAAUAUUUUUGAAGUUUUGAGAGGUAUAUAGGCAAUUAUCCCAAAAAAGUAAAUUUCAUCCGUUUAAUUUAUAGAAAAAAGUAUUUUUUUUAAUUUUGUCUGAUUUUAAGAAAAAAUAUUUUUUACAUAAUUUUAUAUGUUUAACCAUAAAAAAUAUUUGGAAAAACUUCAAAUACCCCCCCUUGUGGUUUCACUUUUUCUCACUUUAGUAUUAUGUGAUUUAAAGUAUAUCAAGUUAGUACCCUGUAGUUUUGCACUUUUUCAUUUUAGUACUCUGUGGUUUAAAGUGUAUCAAAUUAGUACCCUGUGGUUUCGCACUUUAUCACUUUAAUACCCUGUGGUUUCGCACUUUAUCACUUUAAUUACCCUGUGGUUUAAAAACCACAUGGUACUAACUUGAUACAAAAAUAAAACCACAUGAUACUAACUUGAUAUAAAAAUAAAACAACAGAGUACUAACUUGAUACACUUUAAACCACAGGGUACUAAAGUGAUAAAAUAAGAAACCACAGGGUACUAACUUGAUACACUUUAAACCACAUGGUACUAAAAUGAAAAAAAUGUAAAACCACAUUGGGUUUUUUUUUGAAGUUUUCCCAAAAUAUUUUACAUAGAUUUUUUUCUGCAAUACAAUUUUUUUACACUGUUUCGAAAAUCCAGACAUCUAGCUACCAAUUAUUAGGUCACUUGUGAAAAAAUAUUUAUGAAAAUUUCAUUUAUCAAUUUUUCGCCUAUUUGAUAUAAAAAAACUAGUUUUUUUUUUCAGAUUUUAUAAAACAAUAAUUUUUAUUUUUUUAAAAAAUUAUUAUUAAAAUAAAUAUUAAAUUUUUUAUAAAAAUAUUUUUUAAAAAUUACUUUUCUUUUUAACUAAGCGAGCAUAAAUACUUUUUUGAAUGAGAUAAUUGCAUCCACGUCCCCGCAAACAUGGUGAUCUGCAAAUGUAUCCCUGCAAAGUUUAACUUUCAGAUUUAUCCGUACAAAAGUCUUAAUGUUUUCAGAUAUGUUCCUCUGGUUAGAAUCCGUUAAAAACUGUUUAUUUUUUAACAGUAGAUUUGUUAAAUGAUAUUUUUGUCAUCACAAAUAUGUUCCUCUAAAAGCUCCAGUUGGUAUAUGUUUGUAGAAAUGCCCUCUUAAUUUUUGCCCUAUUCCUCUUUCUCUUCAAUUUUCUUUUUAGGCUGUGGGAGCGGUUGGUGACUUCGCGGAGCUUGUCGAAGUUGCGCCCGACGAGGACAAGGCUGAGGCCCGCAGCGGCGAGGUGGAAGGCGAAGGUACGGCCGAUGCUGUCGAAAGCGCUCGUGAGGACAGCCCACAAGGGCAUGACGAUCGGAUCAUCAACGAUGACGACAAAGAAAAAGGGAGAGGAGAAAAUGAGGAGGAGGAGAAGAAGAAGAAGAAGGCGGCAGCGGAGGUCGUUAUCCGACCGCCGUCGCACUUACCUUGGCUGGAGGUGUCGCCAUGGAUGGCGAGGUUGGUGCUAAUCUCCUACGAGGAGCACCACCCGAUCCUCCUUUUCCGCCGCGAUCGCCCGCCGCAUCUCCUCCCUCGCCAGCUACGACGACGACCACCACUCCGACAAGCAACAAAGGAAGAGGAAGAGAAAAAUGGGUAAAAUUAUAAAUUCAUCUUAUUAAUUAAUUAUGAUUAAGUGUUUUAACUGUGGUUAACUAAAUUUCAUCAACGGAUCCUAACGACAGGACUGUAUCUGAAAAUAUUACGACUUUUGUAGGGAUAGUAUCUGAAAGUUGAACUUUACUAGAAUGUAUCUGUAAUUCACUAUAUUUGCGGAAAUCUGUAUGUAAUUAACUCUUUGGAAUAAUCAAACGCACGACUUUUGAAAGGUAAGUGGUCAAUUAAUUUUAUCCAGGUCGCAGUUGCUACCCACAGAAUAUUAGCCAUUUAUAUUUUGUUUCAAAAUAAAAUAUUGUUUAAAUAUUUGUCCGUAUAAAGUGCCACGUCGGCAAUGACUCAUACACUGGAUUUACGUACCAACCACUCGCAGCUGUGGGACCCACAAUACACUUCGUCCCUGAAGUCUCACAGUCCUCACUAUUGGACACGUGAUUCCGUACUGGAGUUGCUAUCGAACCCAAUGUAUCACUACGUCUCAUGCACCGUACCUAAUUUUUGAUGAUCGGUAUCGUAGGCUCAAAAUUUUAAGGAAAAAUUUUAAAUAUCCAUAUUGUGGUUUCACUUUUUUUUUUCACUUUAGUACUUGAUGAUUUAAAUUGUAUCAAAUAAUACCUUGUGAUUUUGCAUUUUUUUAUUUUAAUAUUCUGUGAUUUAAAGUGUAUCAAGUUAGUACCAUGUGUUUCGCACUUUAUCACUUUAGUAUCCUGUGGUUUAAAGUGUAUCAAGUUAGUAUUCUGUGGUUUUAUUUUUGUAUCAAGUUAGUACCCUGCUGUGGUUUAAAAACCACAGAAUACUAACUUGAUACAAAAAUAAAAUUACAGGGUACUAACUUGAUAUAAAAAUAAAAUCACAGAGUACUAAUUUGAUACACUUUAAACCAUAGGGUACUAAAGUGAUAAAGUGAGAAACCAUAGGGUACUAACUUGAUACACUUUAAAUCAUAGGGUACUAAAAUGAAAAAGUGCGAAAUCACAGGAGGGAUUUUUGAAGUUUUUCCAAAUUUUUAAUCCUACAAAUACUGCUUAAAUAAAGAGAUUGUUUAUAAGCAAUUAGAAAUUAAAAAUAUUUAUAAUUUUUUUUUAUAUAUUCAACUCAUUUAGUACUGAGGAAUAUCUAAUAUAGUUAGAUUUUAAAAAAAUUACAGCAAAUGUAUAUAGGCAUAUAUUAUUAUAUUUGUGACGGGACUGUAGAAAUUUUGUUAUAAUUGAAUUGAAUAUUCAUGAUCGAUCUGCAUAAUAUAAUGUUUUUAUAAAAAUAAAUAGAAUAUUUUUCUAUCUUUUAUGAAAAUAAAUAAAGUACUUAACUACUUAUAAAAAGCUCAAAGAAUUAGUGGUUGGUUUUAAUGUUGUGGUCUAUUUGAUGUAACUGUACACCAGGUGCAGGGAAUUUUUCCUCUACUUAAGUAGCAGAGGAAUUAUGGUUUGCAGAAUCUCAGCGAAACUCACGGUGUGUGUUGCAUACAACUUUUCUAUGCGGACGGAUGCAUAUAUACGAUAAUACGACCCGUCUCGCUUUCAACGUACUGCGUCGGACUCAACAGCGCCGACCCCUCGAGAUUCUUUCCACGAGGUGAAAAUGUGUGGAUACCACCCUCAACUAUAGUACACUUUGAAAUGGUCCCCUCAGCAUUUUUUUUCUUAAUAGUUUUAAAUUUUAUCUUUUCAAAUUGAGGGGUUUAGUUAAUGAAAGUAUGGAUUGUAUCGAGUUUAUUAUUAAUUAACCAAGAGAAUUAGAAUAUUUGGUAGGUAAUAGUUGAUAAUAUUAGUAAAUUUAAUAAAACUUUCGCGGUGGAUAAUUUGAAUAGUUUAAAUUAUAAAAGAUUCAAAUAGGAAUUAGAAUAGAAGACUCGGAGUACUGAUUACAAAAUAAUAUAUUCUUGAGGGGGUGUCGAUAAAUUUUCAUCUGUAUAUAGAGCAUCUCCCCUACCCCGCUACUUGAUUGUGCGUAGACUAUUUCUCUUUUUCUCCGUCGCUCAUCUCGUCUCCGGAGAAGAAACCCUCGGGAGCUCUCCCCUGCUUCCGAUUAGGGUUUCACCUCCGAUCGCCCCAUCGAUCCGAUCGCAUCGCGAAGAGUACCCGCUUCUCUCUCUCUCUGUCUUUGUGUCUCAGCUGCCGCCGCCGCAGCCGCAGCCGACAUCGCCGGCGCCGGAGGAAGAGGAGGAGGAGAUCGGCGUCGCCAUACUGGUACCUCCCUAAACCCCCUUGUUCUCUUCAUGUUCUAGCUGGGUAUGUAAAGGAUUCGUGGCGUGGAAUGGAGUGAGCCCUCAUUUGGAUCAGAUUAAGUCAAAAAACUGCUCGAUUUGGUGAUCAAUCCCCCGAUUGGGGUGUGAUUGAAUCGAAAUUGUGUUUACAGUUGUGGAUAUUUGAAUUAAACACGCACAUUGCCUGGGAUCCGACGUAGGAGUGAAGGAAUUUGGUUUUAAUCUGUUUUUGCGGUGGAAAUCCGUAGCGUAGGAUGGAGUGACUGACUUAUAAUUGCGUUUACGCUUGUGAAGAUUGGAAUUGAAUCAGGUGCAGGAGUGGUGGAAAUUGGUUUCAACCUGUUAGCGCUCUAGAAAUAUGAGAUGCAUUUAGGUUUCUGUUGUUGUUGUUGUUGUUUUUCUUUCUCUUUUUUAUUUUUAAAUUCAGAGUGUUGAUAGUCCUCUUGAAUUUUCUAUAUACCUCAUUUUUCUUUGUCUAAGUGGUAUACAAUGUGCACAUGGACAGUGUGCUUGUUUAACAUUUAAUUGUGAUGACGAUUGUAAGAAUUUAAGCUAUAUGGAAUCAAUAACAAAUGUAGCUUUUAUGGAAAAUAUCAAAAGAACAACUUUUUAGUUUGUGAUUCUAUAUUUCUAGACAUUUGGCACCAACAUUAUCUGGAACAGCAUAUGUUGUGGUAUGCGGCACAACACGGUGAUGCAGUACUUCAAUUUCUAGGAAUGUGGUAAAAGCUGUAAAAGUAAUCUGGGUCAUGCUUUGCUUGGAACAACAGUGCGAAUGACAUAUAUAUUUAUAUAAAAUUAGUUGGAUAGCUAAUCAAUUCAUUUCUUUACUAGAUACUUAUUCUUCUCUUUUUUUUAACCUUUUGUUUUCAUAGAUCAACCACUUUGUAUGGGUUCCAAAUCGGUUGAUGAUUUGCUGGAGACUUCUACAGAAGUUCAUUUUUCAGGACUUCAUUUAGAUGGGGCAGAGUCUAAAGAUUGUAAGGAGGAGCAUCCGACAACUUCAACAACAGAGAAUGGCCACAAAGAACCAUUUGUAAUAGGUUAGUAACCUGUAUAAGACAGUUUCCUUUUGUUGUUCUCACUGAUGAGUUGUUACUUUUAAUUGGUAACUGAUUUAUGUAAUGUAAGUGCUGAUCUCCUUUCUUGCUUGAGAAAAGGAGAAUUUUGAUUUCAAACUUUGUUAUUAUGGGUAGGAGAUAUCAAAUCACCUCAUAGCGAAUAAUAAAUUUGCAGAUGGAUAUGUCACUAAUGCUGCUUUUCUGGGAGAUUUAAUUUGUUUUCGUCCUCAUAUGGUAGGUGAAUUGCAUUGUGUUGAAGAUAUUUCUUGUGUACGUUUUACUAAAGCGAGCUUGGGGCGAGCCUUUGGUAACGCUAACAACAAGUCCACACUUAAUGAGGACUUGGAGCUUCCUUGUCCAACUGUAGAACUUAUUUCUAAUUAUCCUUCAUAAAAACACUCUGCUUUUUAGCUUUAAGAAAGCCCAAUGCGAAGUCCAAGAAAACCUUUUUGAGUGAGACUAUCUCAAUCUCUUUCUAUCCGAUGCCAGUCAAAGCACCUGAUGCAUUUUGAAGCCCAAGUUCAAUCUAGGCUGUCUAUCUUGUCUGCUUGUAGGUUCUUCUUGUACUGCUUCAAGAUUUGAUUUAGUUUUCUUUUUGCCAUUAACAAAACGUGCAAUUCAGAUUUUGAAAUCAACACUUAUAAAUGCUUAAUGGUUUUGCCAAAAGGAAAUGUAGUUGUAAUAUGAUAACUUUCAAAUACUAGCAUGUUGCUUGGCUUUAAUGAAAUCUCAAGCAUAAUGUAUUCUAUAUGAUUUUUUUUUACUUUUUCUGGGACAAGGUUUUCUAAUGCUUUGACUGGUAACAUUUUUUUUCUAACCUUUUCUCAUUUUGCUGACUAUCUCACAUGAAAUGGUCAAUGUUUGAUCCAAGGCUUUAAGUGCCCAUCGGCAUGGCUCGUAUCUACCAUGCCGUAUCGUGCCAACAAGAUAUCGGCACGAUACAACUCCCGUACCAACGGCAUUUCAAAACCCUAUAUUCUUUAAAUUAGUUAGUAAUUUUUUCAAUAAAGUUCAAAAGAUUUGAUAAAAAUAUAUAAUAAACAGUUAGAAUAUUUUGUUGCUAAAGAAAAUAUAUAUUUCAUGCUAUUAUGUGUUGGCACACAUGAAUUUUUUGUGACCGGCACGCAUCGGCAUGGCCCGGUAUGCACCAUGCCAUACCGUGCUGGCAAGUUUCCGGCACAACCACGUGCCACGACACUUAAAUCCUUGGUUUGAUCGCUUAAUUUACGUUUGACUCAGAAGCAACUUAUUUUUGUGCUAUCUACAGGUGUUGCUGGUGGUGCAGCUUCAGGAAAGGCACCUGUGUGCAAUAUGAUAAUUGAGCAGUUGCGUGAUCAACGGGUUGUCCUUGUGAAUCAGGUAGUUUCAGUCAGCUGCAAAUUUUUCUACUUUUGCAUCUUUUAUUUGAUUGGUAACAGAAAGGAUCACAUAUAUUUUCUUUCGAUAUAACUGUUCUAUUAAACACUGAGGAUGACAGGAAAAAUCUGAGUUAGAAAUUUAAUGGCAGAGGAGUACUUCGUUGCUUUCACGAUUGCGUCAGCUAACUGCACUAACAAUAGAACUUUUCCUAUUGGCUUUAUAGGUGCGUUUGGCUGUACUCCAGUCUCCAGCACCUAUACUAGAAUUUUGAUAGUAAGGUAAGGCAACAGCUGGCUGUAAUCUUGGCUAAAAUCUUUAGUAUGGCCUGCCCAACAGCGAGUCUGGUUUUAAUCAAGCCUUUAGUGUGUAAUACAAGCAUUGAUAUGAACCUGGUGAUUCUUCUCAAUUUACAACUUUGUUCUGCAAAAAUAGUUGUCAUGAGUAAGUCAUGUUCGUAUAGCAUUUGUAGUAGUCACUGGACAAUCAGUUAUAGUGUUAUUUUUUGUUUCAUUUAUGAUCGCAAGGGAGAUUUUUUUUUUUCCUUUUUCUUUUUUGGUUUCCUUGGGGGGGGGUGGGGGCCAAUUGGGGGGGCGUGGUGUGGGUGGCGGAGAGGAUACAGGACAGGUGGUCAUUAGAAUUAAGAUGGAUCUAUGUCUUCACAGUAAUAAAUAAUAAGCUAUUCUGUUGAGAGAACAAGCAUCUCACAUUGGUAUGCACCAUUGAAGAAAUUCUCUAGAUGAGAAUAAAUUCUCUUGAAGAAGGGUAGUAACAAUGGUAACCUAUAUGCUAAAGGGCUCUAUUACAAUCCCUCUUCUUUUUAAGUUUACCUGUGCAAGAAUCACAUGCAAAAUUUCUAGAGGGUUGAGUUAGGUUGAUAGUUGGUCAGAAAUAUGUGAAUUCUUUCUUCGAGCUUUCUUAGUUUUGAGGUGUACUCGGGCUAAUUGUUGGGAGAAAGUUAUGAUGGUGACAAGGAUAAUUACGGUGAUCACGAGUUUCUAUCUACAAAGGCUUGUCCAAUUAACUAGUGCAUAUUAUUGCCAAAAUGUAUUUUGAUACUGUUUACUUAAAUUGUUUCCUUUUGAUUAACACGCUAGGACUAAUAAAACAACAGUUCAUGCAAUUUUAACUUGACCUAUGUAUACACAUGAUAUUGCAGAGAUCAUUUUACUAUGAUUUAUCAGAAGAGGAAUUGGCUCGAGUUCAUGAAUACAAUUUUGAUCACCCAGGUAUUCUAUUUUUCUGGAAAAUUAAACCUGUUCACAUGAUUAUAAAUCUUUACAUUGUCAUAAUUAGUUAUCUAAUCAUUGCCAAUAGAAAUGCUAGAGUCAUACUCUUAUUUCUCCAUUUGAUACCCUGAUUUUUUUUUUUUCUUUGUUCUUCUGUGGCCACAAGAUCUAAUUGAAUGUUUCCUGUGUAAAAUAGGGAGAAAAAAAAGAAAAAAAAAAGAAAAAGAACCACAUUGAGUAGCUCUUUAGUCAAAAAUGUAUGCCAUCUCAUUUAUUCUACUUGAUUCAUGUAAUAAGGAUUUUGCUCUUUUUAUGGGAAUAUCUCUCUGUAAUUUCAGAUGCCUUCGAUACUGAAUACUUGCUUUCGUGUAUGGAGAACUUGAAGCAUGGGAUUGCUGUUGACAUCCCUAAUUAUGAUUUCAAAACUCAUAAAAGUAUAUUGCCACCGCGGAAGGUAAUCAAGUUGCUAAAGUUGUGGUUCAUAUUGUUUUAUAACACAUUGAGAUUCUGAGGAACCUGAAGCUUUGAGAGCACUUGCAAUGACAGCUAUCUUCCUGUUUUUCCUAAGACCAACAUGCCUUAUAUGUAAUUGUCAAUAUGAUUGUAUGUCCGUAUGGUCUCAUUAGACACUUCAUUUUUCUGUAGUAUUCUUUGUGUAUACUACAUAUUCUCACAUAGUUAAAAUGGAAAGCUUCAAAUUUACUUCAUUCUGACCUCCUAUUUAUACUUCCAUCUCGAAUUUCUAUGUAGAAAUGCUUAAUUGUGUACAAUUGAAAUUUCUUGAUCUGCUAAUCUUACUGCUCUGUGAAGUCGUUGGAAUCUGAUUUGCUGUGUUUUAUUGCUAUAAGUCAUAGGAACACUGGUGUUGUUUCAAGUUUCGACAUUUGAUGUACUCUUGAUUCAACAUGGUUUCUAUAACUCCUCUAGUUUUUUUAUUAUUAUUAUUAUUAUUAUUAUUUUUUUCUCUCAUGUAAGUGUACCAAUUCCCAAUUUUCUUGAUUCUUUUCAGGUCAACCCUUCAGAUGUCAUUAUUUUGGAAGGGAUUUUAGUAUUCCAUGAUCCACGUGUUCGCGAACUAAUGAAUAUGAAGAUCUUUGUUGAUACAGGUCAUAUCUCUCAUCCUCUUCUAUUAUGAACAUAUUAUACAUUAUAUACAUUUAUAUCAAUCAUGUAUAUCUUAACCAUGUAUCCUCAAUCUCUUGUUCAUGUGAAUUGGAGAGCUAUAGAUAACGAUCAUGUGAACUCUGGAACAUUACACAGUAUUAACGCAUGUUGUGUGCCAUGUCAUGUAAAAAGUGGUUGCAUGUCAUGAGUUUGCAACCUUGGCAGUGUUAUUGCUAUACUUAAUGCUUAGUGGUCUUCUGGGGUGCAUGAUGCGGUGCCUUGACUUUUGGUGAAUAAAGCCGAAAGAACUCUCAGCAUUUACCUAGUGUAUUUUAGCUAUUAAACAUUUUCUUGUCUGGGGUAAUUACAAUGAAUCUCUAAAUCCGUCUAAAUAACUGAGAUUCCCCUUGGUGCUUUUUACUGCAUAAGAGAAAUAUUUGCUGAUCAUAUUGAAAUUCACGUCUUAUUAUUACUCUUAUUUACUGCUGAAGAACUAUAAUGGAUAUAUUUCUUGUCUCAACUAAAUUCUCAAUCUUUGUCGUAAUUCAGAAAGAAAAAUACCUAGCUGUCUAAUUAAGAAUGUUUAUGGAUGUGCAUGUUACAUGCAUUCAGGUCAUGUAUUUUUCUAUAUUUUUCCUAGACAGUUGCUUCUGUACUAUUACUGCUGGGACCUCUGCUGUUAAGUUGUUACUUAUAGCCACUUAAUAUAUGCAGAUGCUGAUGUACGGCUAGCAAGGAGGAUUUGGCGUGAUACUGCUGAGAGGGGUAGAGAUAUCAAAACAGUGCUGGAUCAGGUUUGAUGUAGCAACUUUUCUUUUCUGUAGUAACUUUUUCUUUCUUAUCCUUCUUAUAAUUCACAGUGAUGUAUAUUCGUGGGUCCACUACUAGGUCAGUUUUGAUGUAAUAUUGACAUAGAAGAAAUCUUCAGAACCUCAUGUCUGGAUCAGUUAAUAUUCCAAAUUAUCAGAGUAUAUAUUUGUACUAGUCGACUAUUCUUGGUCCAAGUUGUUACAUACAGUUUUUUUUGUUUUUUGGAGGUUUCUACUUUUGUUAACUUAACAUUAAGAACUAGGUUAUUGGAAGAUGAUAAUGGCAAUGCUAAAUAUUAAUUUCUAUAAACAACUUAUACGUACAUUUAAACAAUUUAGUUUUUUCUGCUAAUUGCAGAUUGCAAGACAUCACAUCUGCUCUUAGGUUCAGAAGUUUUUAAAUCUAUAGCGCCCCAAAAUUUCCCUUGUAUUUUCUAAUAUUGUUUUAGAAUAAUGAACAUGAGUGAAGUUGGAUAAGAUCACAUAGAUAAAAAUCUGCGGUUUGACUGAGCUUAAGAAGAAUAAUUAUCUUUGGUAUCUUGAGGUACAUAAUGAAGGUAAAGCGAUUUCUAUCUAGGAGGCAUCAUCACUUACAAAAAUGGAAGUUGGAGGUGGUAGUUAGAUAAAAUACUUGGCUUGAACUUGAGUUUGGAAUAAUAAAGAAUAUUGGAUGGUGAAUGUAGUGAAAAAAGAGAAGGAAAUCUUUUGCUGAUUAGCGUAUGCCAAUUCACAGGAGUGAAAGGCAAAUAAACGAUUUCUUCAAAUUGGCAGAACGAAGGAUUUUUUGUAGUUGCCAUGGUUAUGAACUUAUGAUUAUUUCUUCUUGCCUUUAAAUGCAUAAUUUUCUUUGCAUCUUGUUCUUGCGAGUAAAUGCUAUCCAAUUUGUUUGCAGUACUCGAAAUUUGUCAAGCCUGCUUUUGAGGACUUCAUACUCCCGACAAAGAAGUAUGCUGAUAUUAUCAUUCCCCGAGGUGGAGACAAUCAUGUAGCAAUUGACUUGAUUGUGCAGCAUAUACACACUAAACUCGGUCAACAUGAUCUUUGUAAAAUAUAUCCAAAUCUGUAUGUCUUUCAAUCAACUUUUCAGGUACCGAAUGUACGAAUAUUGUACCUGAAAUUUUAUUCACAGUACAUUGCAGAUGCUUGAGUACAGGCUAAAAUUUUUGCUUUAUAUCAAGCUCUUUUAUAACUUGAUAUGUUUUGUUGAUCUGUGUGUCUUCAAAACUUCUUACAGAUACGUGGCAUGCAUACUCUAAUACGCGAUGCAAAAACUACAAGGGAUGACUUCAUAUUUUAUGCUGAUCGCCUGAUUCGCUUGGUUAGUAUAUAAGGUUCCUUUUUAAUAAAUUUUAUUUGAUACUUCAUCUUAUUUUAAUGCUUACCUUUUAACAGGUUGUCGAGCAUGGUCUAGGCCAUCUUCCGUUUAAGGAAAAGCAGGUGAUAACUCCAACUGGUAAGUAGGUGCCAUACAUUAUUACAAGACCAUGAUUGUGUUGGGCAUGUGCAAAUUGUUUAAAAACAUUAGUCGGUCGGUCAUUACUUGAUUAGCAUUCUUGUCUAAUUAAUGAAAUCACAUUGGAAUAUUAUCUUAUAAAUUCUCUCGUUUAACAUUUAUUUGUCAGUGUCAGUGAAGAUUGGUAGUUGUUUUUAAGCCUUCCCACCAGCCCAACUCUCUAUAGUCAAUUUAACCACUCUAAAUUGGAUAGAGACCUCAUAUUGUUAACGUGAGCUUGUUGACAGCUGAAGACAGAAAGGAAUUAAUUAGUAUUAGUUCUACUAUUCUCAAAAAUCACACUUAAUUCUAGAUUAUAAGUAACUAAUCAAAGAUCCUAGCAAGACAGUGCUUGUUGUAGAGGAGGUAGAUCUUGCCGUGGAUCUCAGUAGCAUUGGUCAAGUUGGGCGGAUGGCAUCAUCGAUUUUGAGGAUGGUGGAGGAGCAGAGGCGACUGAUGGAGUGGUGGAGGAGAUCUGAGACGACGAGGAGAAGAGAGCUACAUGGGGGAACAAGUUGAGCUAUGCAUGGUCAAGGGAGGAGAUGAAGCAGGCGACAGCAGGGACAGAGAGGAAAGGGAAGAGGCAAUAGAGCGGAGGUUGUCAGAGAGGACAUCAAAGCUGAAGCAGUGCUGAAGGAGGUGAAUCAUGUCCUGGAUGGACUUGGUGGAAGGGUCUGAUGAGAGGGCUUGGAAAGUGAUGGGUUCAGAGAUGAUGAGCUCAGUGUCGGAUCAGUGGUGAUGCAAGGGUGGUAUUGGAGGUUGUAGCAUUGAUUGAAAAAGAAAGCAUUGAUGGGAAAGGAAUGCUAGGCAGAGCUAUUAGGGGGAAGGGUAACUGAGUUGUGCAGCAAGGUUUUUUUCUGCAAUGGUUGUCAGCCGUUGAAACAUAAAAGUUGCACCUGAACCUCCCCCCACCCACCCGACAAUAAAGAAAAUUCUAUUAUCGACUAGGAAAUCCAUCGCAAAGUGGACAGAAUACCGCAAAUAAUUUGAACUGUUGCUAAAAAUAUUCUUUGGUGAUGAUUGUUGUGAUCAUGGCUACAGGAGCCAUCAGUAGACAUCAAAUCUCUGUUGUGAAUAUGCUGUCCCUGCAGUCCUGCUUAUUUGUUUUUGCUAUAAUGUGGUGUGGAAUUACUUUCUCAACAAUAUUGGUUCAUUCUGAUGCUUGUCUUAUCUGUGAUGUUAUGAUGCCAAUUUAUGCAUAUUAAAUUCUGCUUGGAAGGGUAAAUACUUAUGUGUAUUUACUAUGUACUGCAGGAUCUGUAUACACUGGAGUAGAGUUCUCUAGAAGAUUAUGCGGCAUUUCAGUUAUUAGAAGGUAAUCAUUUCAACCCUUUUUGCAGCGUUAUCUGCUAUCAUGUUGACAUAUCAUAGUAGCAGGGGCUAUGCAGGAACACUUCAUGUUCAAACUUGACAGUCUCUUUGAUGGUAGUCUAAUGUAUAUAUAUGUAUUAAUGAAGCUCACUCGUCCUUUAAAUUUGCAAACAUCUAAGCCUUGAAUAAAUAGGAAAUGAGUUUAUUCAACCUGUUAUUUGUAACCCUGAUCUCUCUCUCUCUCUCUCAUAUCUAUAUAUGUGUGUGCACACUUCCUUUGUCUCUCUUACUCGCGCUUAAUUUUGAUCACCAAAAUGUAUCUUGUGAUUUUAUGUUGUAUCUAUUAUUAAAAUGCUUCCAGUGGUGAGAGCAUGGAGAAUGCACUGCGGGCUUGUUGUAAAGGCAUCAAAAUAGGGAAGAUCCUUAUCCACAGGGAAGAAGGAGAUAACGGCCAGCAGGUUCGCAGUUAAUCAGCUGUAUCUUUGAUUUAUCCCCAUAGGUUAAUUUUCUGAGUAAUCUCCUCUUUUUUUCAGCUUAUCUAUCACAAUUUGCCAAAAGAUAUAUCAGAUAGGCAUGUUCUUCUGUUGGAUCCAAUACUAGGCACAGGUUAGUUCGUUUAAUUUUAAUCACUCUGGAUUUGAUUGUGUAAAAAGAUUUUCUUUCGUUCCCAAUUGCCGCUAGCAUUGAUUUUCUUCACCUGUCUGUACGAAGUUUAGUGAACUUAAUCAUUGGCCAAUUUAAAACUCUGGAAAAUUGUUGUUUUAUUGAUAAAAAGCCCCAUUAACAAGUUAAUUGUAGAAUGAUAUCAGGUAUGUCCACCUUGCCUAGUUGAUUGUCAUGCUGAUGUGUCCCUUUUUAUCCUCUUAUCCUGUGCCAGGCAAUUCUGCUGUUAAGGCUAUAUCUUUGCUCCUGUCGAAGGGUGUACAGGAGGCCAAUAUUAUAUUCCUUAACCUCAUAUCUGUAAGUUUGGGUACCCCAAGGACUUCUCCUCUUUCCGAACUCAAAUUCUUUCAUUUCAUCGCCAAGGUUCUGUUUUAUAAUCUGGUGCAUUUGGUAUGUGAGGGAGAAAUGUUCAAAUGUAGGGAGACUAAAUUAAAUUUUUGUCAGUCCACUGGCGUGUCAUGCGAACGAACUUCAAGAUUUAAAAUACAUAAAACAUAAUAAUGCUUUUGAACAAAAGCCUAGACUAUCUAAAUCGAUACACUCCAGCCUUCUCAGUAUCUUAUGCAGAAUUUUGCUGAAAUUGCGUAUGUUCCCAUGAUCAGGCUCCUCAGGGAGUACAUGUAGUUUGCAAAAGGUUCCCGAGGAUUAAGAUUGUGACAUCUGAGAUUGAGUUUGGGCUAAACGAGGAUAUCCGUGUCAUUCCUGGCAUGGGCGAGUUUGGAGAUAGGUACUUCGGAACAGACGAGGAUUAGGCAAAAGACACCGAAUUCAGUAAGUUGUUUCUUUAGCAUUGCGGGUUAUUUCACAAGAACAGUGUAGAACACCAUGCAUCGGGAAGCCUAACUCUUUUAUGUUUUCUUUUUCGUUUUUUUGUAGGAAUAGACUUUUUUGUUCUGAGUGACAAUUGCGGUUAUAGGUAGCACGGUAUUUUUCGAGUGAUCUCUGUUCCUAUUUGAACUCCUUUUUGUUGCCCGUGUCGGUGUGUGCGCUUCAUUGUUAUCUUUCUAGACGCAAAUGUAAUAUGCCAUCCUCAUUUACUUACCUGAUUAAUUCGACUCCAACUAUUUGGGGAUUACAUGAUAUGUGUUUUAUAUUUUCAUAUAUUUCCCUAAGAAUAGAUUGAUUGUGCUUCAUCUAGGGGUCAUCGUAUUUUCGCUCUCAUGUUAUUUGAAUGAUGUUAGCCUGUUACACACAUGCAGUCGCAGAGCCAGGAUUCUCAUCUAGCACGAGCACUGCAGAAACUACAAAACAGUUAUGUAAAUUUGUGCAACUUAAUUAAAACACAGUUGCUAUUAUAUUUGGUUUUUGAACAAAGUGAUGUGAAUCACUCCUACAUGAUGCUGCAUCGAAAGAUCAAGUCGAAAACUUUCAACAAAUAAACCACUCUACAAACGAUCUUGUGAUCAAACUUAAAAAAGAGUGGAAAGCGGAGGAAGCGCAUAGAGAAUUAAAAGCAAUAAAGCUCUUGUAAUUAUGCAGUUUAUAUCGUGAUAUUCAUUUGUUUCGAGAUAUUGGUAAAAACUUUGGUACUAUUUAACAAUUUCUUAUUUUUGAGGAAUUAUUGCAAUAUUGUUAUUAAGGAAAUAGGUGUAAGUACAAUUAUCGAUAUAUUCUGAAAAGUUGUGUGCACAAAUUUCUUUUGCUAUUCUAGGUGCAACUUUUCUUGUUAAUUAUGCAGUGUAUAGAAAAGUAGGUUUAGGUGAUAUUCUAUUUGGCGCCAAAUCUAAAUAGAAUUCUAUGGAAUAGCAAUAAUUAUAUAGUAAAAAAAUUCUGACCAAAUUCAAUAUCAAUAUUACGGAAAUUGGAUCAGAGUUAUUUGUGUUAUUAGAAAGUUUGCUAAAUCAUUCCAAAUUAAUUGAAUUUUUAUUAAUAACAAACAACUAAUUUGUAAAAAUUAGAAUUUUAAUUAUUUAGAAUUAUAGAAUUAGUGGCCAACACUAUUAACCGGUUUAAUUCGACCAUCAUUCAUCCAUUCUCAACCCGGACCGGACGGUUCACUUUCUAGGGCUCCCGCAGCGGUUAGACACUCCAAUCGGACGGUGAGGCGACUCCGAUCAAAUCGAUCUAAAAUUUCGACGGUCGAGAUCAGACGAGUCCCCGCCACCUCUCCGACU
rnacentral:lncRNA from 1 species